rnacentral:lncRNA from 1 species
CAUUUUGAACCUUCGGUAUGUAUGUACUGAAAGCACAUUUUCAAAUUUUGGUUAUUUGUUUUAAUAGUUUGAACUUUUGAUGCUAAAACUAUUUGAACCUUCAUGUUACCCACCCCCCCUCCCCCAUGAAACUAUUAGUUUCUUUACAGGCAUGAUGUAAACAGAGUUGCUAAUACAUCUUUUUGAAAAAAUGCCACUUGAAUAAAAAGAUUAGAUAUCAUACUCUCAGAUUAGCAAUUACAAAUUGAUUGUGGUUCAUGUUCAAGAACUUUAGGGCAGUCAAAUAUGUAGUAAGCAAACCUAUUGUGUUUAAACUGAGAAUAUUAUAAAUGAAGGUUUUACAAUGUGCUGAAUUGAACAAGAACAUGAUUAGUAGGUGUGAACUGAAUUAAGCAUGAACUGUAGUCUCAAAACUAUGAAUAAGCAAAUGCAUGAACUGAAUUAAGCAAAACUAUUGAAAAUGUGCCUCUGGUAUGUACAUAUCGAAGGUUCAAAAUGUGAAAAAUAAAAAUGAACUACCAGUAUCUAUAUACCGGAGGCUUCUGUAUGUAAGUUCUAGAUGUCUUAUAAAGGUUAUUUUUGUAUUUUUAGGGGGCCUUAAAAGCAAUCCACAUGCUUCUUUGUCUCUCCAACUCAUAAUAGGUCCCCUUUCUCUUCUCUGCCUCCCUAAAAACCUUCCCCAAACCCUUUCUCCAUUUCUUAUUCUCAUUUCAAAUUCCUUCAAAAUUCAAACACUCUUGAGAUCAAUUUCACAUCUAAGAAAAGUAAUCUGAUCAUACAAAUGCUAUGUGAUAAUAUUUUGGAGUUAGUGUUAGUGCUCUAGGAAAGGAGACUCUAUGAGGUAAAACUUUGUGAUUCAUGGAAUAUAAAGUUGAUUGGAUGAGUAGUGGAGCUAUUAUAGAUAGUAAAAUUUUAGUUUCUCAUUAGUCCCUUUCAAACACUGAAUAUAAUAAAUUAGGGGUUUUAUCUUAUUCUUUUAUUUAUUGGUAAUGUGAUCUUAAGUAGGUUUUAACAAGAGCUAAUUAGGUGAAUUGAUUAAUUGUUCAUGGAUGAUGAAAUUUGUGCUCUAAUAAUGAUGAUAUGUUUGAAUGUAUGAAGUUAUGGAUAAUUGAAUUGUUGUUAGUUGAAUUUUAUGUUGAGAAAAUGGUAUAUGUUGAAAAUAUGCUUAAUUGGUUGAAUUAUGAUUUGUUGUUGAGAAAUGAGAUGUUGUUGGUGGUUUGGUGAAUUGGUCCAAAUGUCAAUUGUUUUCAUGUUUGUUGAGUCUUUGUGAGUCUUAUUAGUCAUAUUGACCUGUAAACAUCAUUUGGAAACACAUUUGGGCGUUGAGGGAUCAAAAUUGGGGAUUUUGGGUGAAGAGGGUUGAAACCGGUAACAUUUUCUGCAGAACUGUGAACGUUCGCUUAAGGGUUCGCUUAAGCGACCAGUAAGCAAGCAUUCAUAGUGUUUUUCUGGGCUCAGGUCGCUUAAGCGACCUGAGAGCGAGCUGGUAAGCGUACUUUCUGGUAGCUUCUGGAACUCGUUUGCUUAAGCGAACCAUGUGGUCGCUUAAGUGAACUGAUGAGCGACCAGAAAGCGUACACUUCUGGUGGCUACUGGAACUCGUUCGCUUAAGCGAACCAGGUGGUCGCUUAAGCGAACAAGCCCAGUUUCAGCCACCUUAAUCUUUUGUUCCGGGUCUUAGGGGGCCAAUCCGAGCUUUGUAAAAUGAUUCUUUCAACAUGUUUAACUACUGUUUAAUCCCCUAAACCUACUGGAACACGAUUAGCUUGCCUAAACUUGAGAUUUUCCAUUUGAGUCUUAACUUGGAAGUUUUUGGGACUACUAGAAAAAUUCAAUACAUAGACGGGCUAAAUCUGUCUCUAAAAAACUAAAAAUCCGUCUCUAACCACUUUGGUGACGGAACUAGAGACGGAAAUAGAUUCGUGGCUGUUUUCCUCGUCUCUAAAGCAAUUAGAGACGGAUUUAGUGAUUCCGUCUCUAUUAGAGACAGAAAUAUUCCGUCAUAGCAUUAUUAAUUCCGUCUCUAAAGUUGGAUUAUGAGAAACAAAAUUCUGUCUCUGUGGCUUGGAUUAUUCCGUGACAAUAGAGACAGACUAUAAAUUCCGUCUCUAAUUUAAUUAUUUAAAAAAAAAAAAAAAAAAAAGACUGAAUUUAGUAUUUUAUGCUAUUCACUAUUUGAAAAGACACAAAUUUUGAUCUACAUAUUAAUGUUAGUCAACAGUCAUGAGAAAAGUUCUCUAAAAAAAAUACAAGCAGUUUGCAACUAACUUAAUUAUUGAAAGUAAAACUAACCAUUACCUAAUAAUAAUAUUAAUACGAUAAUAAAUCUAAAACUUUCCAAUCUCCAAAUUUGUGUUAUUGUCCCCUCCUUCAUUGUCAUUAUCAUUAUCUCAAGCUCUUGACAUAUGCUUGAGAAUAACACCUAAGCUGAAAAGGUAUAACUUCCACCAACCUGCAAAAUUUAAAAUAUAUGUUGGUCUCAAGCUUGAACUAAUAUUGCUAGAAUUUCAUGACAUAUCCAAAAAUUCAAAUAGUGAAAACCAAAUAGCAAGUAAGAAAUACAAGUUACAGGGAUUACAUUUUUCUUUAUUAUCCUAUAAGUCAUAUUUUAAAAACAGUGCAUAUAGUAACAUGAAUGCAAAAGAAGCAAAGAUCUUACAAUCACUCUUAUCCUUGUUUAGACAUAGACUUAUGUUAUUCUACUAACAUGGUUUCAUGCUCAAAUAACCAAAUCGUAAAAGCAAGUAGUUGUUAAAAAAAAUUCCAUCAAGCAGGUAAAUUUCUUGGGGGUUUUGGGUUGGAGCCAAGUGAAAUUCGAUUUUGGAGCCUGUGAAAAUGAGAUAUGGCCCCAGCGAAUGGAUAAAAAGUUAUUUUUAAUUAAUUAAAAAAAGAAAUUUGACCUGUGUGAGACGGAAUUGGAGACAGAAUAAUUUUGUGACGGUACAAUCCGUCUCUAAAGUCUGUCUCGAUGUUAAAAAUAAAAUUCCGUCUCUGUUCAUUAUAUCGGUCUCAACUUCCGUCUCUAUCAGAGACGGAAUAAAAUCUGUCUCUAAAUUCCGUCGGUAUAUGAAACUUUUCUAGUAGUGUCUAGACUUUUGUCGAAAACAAACUUUUGCAAACAAUGGAACUUACAAGCUGAACCUACAGCUCAUAUAGACUUAGGUAAGACUUGUAAGAGUAGUCAAACAUCUUAAUCAUGUCAAAAGUGAUAUUUCGGGUGGGAAUGUGAAAGAUUGUGAAAUUGGAUUUUUCGUACGAACUUAUGUUAUUCUUGGAUUAAUGUAUAAUAGUCUGGAGGCGGCUUAAGUUCACGACCAUAUGAUUGAUUAAGGUUGUUUGAGAACUUUCAAUUUGUCUAUGUUGUUUGUCUUGGGAAUUAUCAAUGUUGACCGGUUGCCACUUGAUACGGUUUUUAGUCAGAAAUGUUCCUUAAGUCAAUUGUCUUAAGAUUUAUCGUGACUAUUCUUAUAUGACUAAGUGAGGUUGUAUGAAUGAAUGAUUGUAUGUUGGAUAUGAUGAAUAUCAUGAGAUGUGUAUGUUCUCUUACUUAGAAUGUAAGAAAUGUUUGAAAUGGUAAAACUAUAUGAGAUAGUUAAUGUUGAAUGACAUUGUUGAUUAUUGAUGAUCAUGUUGAUGUUGUGAUAAUGAAUCUUAUGAUUUGAUUGUGUAUGGACAUGUUUUCUUGAUAAUGCAAAUGUUGUGGAGAUGAUCAAUAUAUUUGGAAGUUGUCCUCUAUAUUGUGGUGAAAAUUGUGGAUUGAUGUCGCAUUAUCAAGUCUUUGUUACAUGUCCAUGCAUCAUAGUCGUGUUGCGAUUUGAUAUGAUAUUUUGUUGUAUCAUUGGGCUCCGGCCUUGCAGAGACCUUGAUGGUCUAGAUAUAGGUGACGACCUUGAAGUGAAAUGGUACCACAUGCAUAUAUGUGGCGGGCUAGGUGCACAUCAUGCAUGAGUCUUAUUGGUGAAAUGUGAUUGGUGAUUGUGCAUGAAUGAAUGUGAUUUGAUGACUGUUCAUGACACAUGUGAUUGGUGAUUAAUUGAUGUGAAAUAUUGGAAUGAUGGUAUAUGUAUAUAUAUGUGAAUAUUAUUAUUGAUCAAGUACAUGAUGUUUAAAUUGAAUUGUUCAUGUUAAUUGUUAUGUGGAUUAUGAUGAUGUAAUACUUACCCCCAGUGGUUUUGACCGCCUACCUGUCUGUAUGGAUGAGUAGACGUUGUGCAUGAUUAGUUGCUCUUGUGAGUUCUUUGUGCUUGGUGGAUAUCGGGAGCUAUCUCCGGUAUCGGUGUUGUAGAGUCUAGGAUGACUCUGAUCUAGGCGUCCGUCGUAGUCUAGAUUAUUUGUUUUGGAUUAUUUGUUCAUGAUUGGAGAUUAACCCGUAUGUUGGGAUUUUGAGAUUCAUCUAUGUUGAUGUAAUAAUUUGAUUCAUGACAUGUAUAUUUGGAGUACUCUAGUUUAUAUUCCGUUGCGACUGUUGAGAUUUAUAUGCAUGCAUGUUGAGUUUGAAUUUUGAAUGAUGUCAUAGCACCUAUUUCUUGAAUAAAUAUAUUAUUCGCAUGUUUUUUUGCUUUAAUAGAAAUAGGGUGUUACAUUUAUCAAAAUAGGGAACACACCCUUUGAAUACUUUUCUCGUCAACAUUAUUUAUUGUCAAAGUCAUCGAUGUUAAUAUAUAUUAUAUUUGAGGCUACUUAUGAUUUAUAAAGUAUUGGAUUUGAAAUGGAGAUUUGAUUGCACAUAUUGAGUGUACUAGUAUUCAUAUGUUCCUCAAACUAGUUUUGACUAGUUUUGAUAUAUUGUAAAGCAUGGUUUUGAAAUUUGUGUUUUUCGAAGAUUUAAUUUGAUAUUUAUAUGUACUUGAUUUGGAUUGGAUUUGGAUUUGGACUUAUGAUUAUAAGUAGUAAAUUUUCAAUUGAGUUUUGACGGUAAAUAUUUUGACAUAAGUUUCGAUUUUUUGUGAAAGAUGGUUUUAGAUAUGUAUUUUGAGAAUUGUGUUUUGAAAAUCGCACUUAUAAUAACGACGAACUAGGUGCACCUAGUAUGUGAUUUCAGUUAGGUAGAGUUACUGCAUUAGAUGAAAAUGCCCCUAUGGAAAGGUCACCAUUAGGAGGAGAGGGCCAUCAAUGAGAUUUUAAUUGCCUAACUGAAAAUUAUUUACGUUUUGUUUUGAGUCGAGAGAAAAGAGCUAUCCAUUAGAUGGAGCUACCACUAAGAGAAAUACCACUCUUAGUAAGAAAGAACUAUCAAUGAGAUGGAGCUAGUUCUCGAUUCACCAAAUUUUGAUUAUUUUCACUAAAGUUGAAUUUAUGUACUUUAUUUAAAGUUGAUUAUUUUGGUAUGAUUAAAUUGAAUAUGAUUUUAUAUUCUAUUUGAAGUUGAUUAUUUUGAUUCCUUUUCAUCAUAUCCGAUUUUUAUAUUCUAAGAUAAUUUGAUGAGUUUGAUUCCUUUUUCAUUAUACUCGAUUUAUAUAUUUCCUUUAUAGUUAUUGAUUUGGUUUCACCUCUUUACGACAUUGGAAUUUUGAUAUAGUUUUAUUUGGUUUGAUAAAUUUACAAAGUUUUAUGAAUUUUCAUGGUAUACUUCGUGGUGGUUAUUGUCUCUCACUAAGUCUUUGUGACUUACUUGUUAAUCUUCUUUUUUUUUUUCUUUAUUUGCAAGCAGUUGAGUAGUAAAUUGAUAGCAGACUCGGUUUUUGGAGUAUCGCUUUUGGUAGGCCUCUUGGUUGGCGUCACUUUUGUCUAUAUAUACUACAGUGUCAAUUGAUGUAUCUACAACUAUUUGGUAGUCUAAGAUGUUUUAUUCUGAGUUGUAUAAAUAUAAAAAAAUGUUAUUUGAGAUACUGGCUGAUAAAACAAGUUUUUAAAACAUGAUUCAUAUCUUGGAAAUGUUGAAAAUACAAAGGAAACACUGUCGAAAUUUUAGUGAAUAUUUUUUUAAAGUGAAAUCCAAAUUGGAAUUGUUUUUAAUUUAUAGUUUGCCAAGUUGAAGCAAUAGGCUUGCCGGGCUAGAAUGUUCUAGUUCGUGCGCCGAUCACGAUUAGUGUUUUUGUGUCGUGAGAGAUUGAACCGUAGAAUUGACCAUUGCUGCUAAACAAUGAGGUAAGGGGAGAUUUUUAUUCAGUCUAAGGGUAGUAUAUUUCUAUGGGUAGCGAGAAAUCAUUAACCUCUGGUGUUUUUUUUAUUUAUUCUUGUAAUUAUCCUUGUAUUCACUCACAUACAUAUGUCAAAAAGUAGAUUAAUAUUUAAAGAAUCGGAUUAUUAGGUUAAGUAAAAUGAAUAAAGUUCUAAAUAUGUUGUUAUAGUCAGCUAAAAAUAGUGAUGAACCAAAUAGAAACAAUGAUAAGUUUCGUUCUUAAGGUUUCUCUCAAUUGAAUAUGAAACUUCCUCCUCCACUUUUAUUUCCUGCACAAAUGUAAGAGAGAGAAAAAUAAAUGUAACCAGAUUUAAUUUUGUUUACAUACAUUUGAAAUUACAUAAAUGAUUUACAUCAAGGAAAGAGAAUUUAUAAAGCUCGACUAAAGGAGUUAAAUCACAAAAUCAUGUUUCCUCAAAAACAUCUAAAGCUCGACUAAAGGAGUUAAAUCACAAAAUCAUGUUUCCUCAUUGGUCAACUCGCUAUGGCGAGUGACUUGCUCGAUGUGGCGAGCAACUUCUGGGUUUACUCGCGAGGCGAGGGAUGAAUGCUCACGAAGCGAGCGAUGAUCUUCAUCCCUCGCGAGGCGAGGCAUGCUGCUCGCGAGGGCGAGCGAUGAAUUUCAGCUCAGACAGAUUGCAGUUUGUCUCAAAAAUUCACCAAAUCCCAUGGUUCUAACCUUAAAACUGAUUCCAAUUAUCAUCCUAUGGAUUAUCUAAGGUCUGUACACAUUUUCUACAUCAAUCUAACACUUUUUCAUCAUCUAAUCAUCAAUUCCUCACUUUUAACCUAAUUCUUCAAUUCCCAAAACUACACCUCUAACAUGUUAAAUCUAAUUAUCAGAAUCAUAGACUUAAGAAGAUUGAAUGCUAGUCUCACCCUUACCUUAAGAAAAUCGAUCAGCAGCUCUCUUGGUUCUUCUCUCCUUUUGUUCUCCCUUUUCUCCAAAACUGGUUGUACGUGAAAAUAAUUUUAAACCUAGUUUCUCCCAUUUAUCACUUCCCAUCUAUUUUAUCUUAUUUCCUCUAAUUCCACAAAACUCUCUAAAUUCACAAAACAGCCCCCAUCUCAAUAUUUAUUCUAUUUUCAAAUCUUAUUCUAUUAAAUACUAAAAUAAGCCACUUAAUUAAUAAAUCACAUAAUCAUAUAAAAAUAUUCUAAACCUAUUAAAACAAACAAAUAAAUCAAAUAAUUCAAAGAGGGCGUUAGAUGAACUACUAUUACAAGAUUAUUCUUCGGUAUUUCCCAAAAUGAGAUCUCAAUUUUUCUGUUCAUCUUCCAUUCUACCCAUUUCUUAUCUAACCAGGAACAAUACUAUCCCACUAAAACUUCAGGAUUUAGAUUAAUGUAAUUAAAAUUCAUACUAAUUUUUUUAGAAUAAAUAUAAUCAAACAAAAUUGAGAAAACCCUAACGCCACAACAAUGGAGAAAACCCUAACGAAAUUGGCUAUGAGAGUUGGUGAAUCUUUAUGAUUCUAUUGUCUUAAUGAGAGCAAUAAUCAUAACCAAAAUUAGAAUAGGAAGAAUCAAUAGAUUUUUGGAGGAAAAGAAGAAUAAGGGAUUGCAGAUUAAAACUUGUGAUUCUUCGUCAUUUGAAAGGGGAAAAAAGGCAUUGAAAGAUAAUAGGUUAAAUAUAAAACUAGUUGAAUUGUGGAGUUUUGAACUUUUAUGAGCACAUUAGAACAUUAGAUGAACCAAAAGGAGAUGAAGAAAAACCACAAAGAACAAAAGUAGACGAGAGAUUGACAUAGGAGGUGAGGCUUACGUGCAGUAAUAAGUGAAAUAAUGAGAGCCUUUGGAUUAAAUGAGAUAAAGGUUUGUGAUUUGGUUUCAACGAAUUUGUUGACACCUGGUGUCAACGGAUUCUGACUCAUAAUAAUAAUAAUAAUAAUAAUUUUUUUAUUUUUUUGAAGAAACAAAAAUGGAAUAUAUUACUAUAAACACUGUAAUUGUUGAAGCACAAGACGUGCCACAACAAUCACAUAAAGAUUACAACACAGUCAAAAUUACAUCAAGGAUAGUCAAUGCCCAUACAUAGAAGCGGGCUCGACCACCAACUAUGUGUACCAAAAAUAAAGACUAUGUUACUAGCUUUCAACCACCACAAGGUAUUUGAUUUUACUUUAUCUAACAAUAGUGGUAUAGAACUUUGAUGAUUCUGAAAUAAUCUAUCAUUCCGUUCUUUCCAUAAAACCGAGACACAUUGAAACCAAAUCAAAUGAAAUAAUGAUCGACGCGAUUUCAAACCACCUGCAUAUUCAAUAAAUUGCACAAAGUGAUCUGAGAUGGUAUUAGAAUCAACCCCGUCGACACCAAGCCAAGCCCGCACCAAAGGCCACAAUGAACCAAAAAUUGGACAAGACAAAAAUAAAUGAUUCACAUCUUCAACCUGCCCGCAUCCCGUUACACAAAACCGAUUUUCCACAGCUAUAAUCCCACGUUCCACCAAAUUUGAUUUAGUAGGUAAACGAUCCCUCAACAGUCGCCAAGCAAGUAUAGAAACUUUUAAAGGAACCUGUUUAUGCCAAAUUAACUCCAUAUUUUGAUGAACAUGAGGUUGUUCCUGUGAUGUCAACAAAUCAUAUACACCACGAACAGUAUAACCAGAAAUCUGAUCCGGCAACCACAUCCACCUGUCUGUUUCUGUUUCCUGCAAAGUGACAUGUCAGUAAUAAAUUGUUGCACAUAACACUUCUGUCCUUUACAAUUGGAGUAUGUUGAAAGGUGCUUUAAAACCAACGUAAGUGUACAUAAUAUUGAAAUCAUGUUAGUUAGAAAAAUGAUGAUUAUUUUAAUUGGAUGCAGGAACCCUUCAAAUGAUGAUAAUCGAUCAAUUUUAAAUCAUGUUAGUUAAGAUUAUUUUAAUUAUUUUAAUUAAAAUAAUUAUUGCUAGCAUAAGCAGGAACCCUUUCAAAAAAGAUUAUUACUUUUUUAAAGGAAAAAAAAUAUUUUUAUUAUUGCUAGCAUAUGCAAACAAAGAUUUCUUAGCAUUGUAACCAAAAAAAAUAUGCAAACAAAGAUAUGUUUGUACGAUUUGGAUUAGGUAAGAUAUAAAAAGGCAUUUGAUCAAAAAAUUUAAAUACUCAAGGUUUGGUUUGGAUGACUUCAAAGAAAUAUCCUGAUAUGAUUAAUUAUUUGGUCAAGUUUAGAUCGAUUUUCAGAUAACCAAAUUAUAAUUUCAUGAAGAUGUUAUCUAUUAAAAUUAAUAUUAUAACAACACAGUAAAAUCAUAGAUUUGAUGCAAAAUAUAACAAUUAAUGUACUAAAAAUUAAAAUUGAAAAUUGAUUAAAUUUAACUAAUAAGUAUUACAAAAAAUAUUAAAAUACAAUAAAUAAAAAAUUAAUCAAUUACGAGAAGAGUGUAAUAUUCUAUCAAAAAAUAAUAGAGUAAAUUACUAGGUUAGAUGUUAUGUCCUCAUAGUUUUUGUUCUUUUAUCAAAAAAAAAUCUUUUCUAAUAGAGUAAAUUACACCCCCUCCCAUGAGAGAUUAUGAUAUUACAUUUUCCUCCCCUCUUAUGAUUAAAUAUACAACUUAAUCCAUUUUUUUGGUAGUGUCAACUUAGUCCAUUUAACUUAACAUUUUUUUUAAGGAUCCAUUUAACUUAACAUUGUUAAUGAAGUUUUUUUCUUUCUAAAUAUUAUUUAAUAAGUUUAAAUUGACAAUAAUAUCCUUUCUUUCAGUCUAAUAUUUUACUCUUCAUUUCAUUAACUUCUUCUACCUAUCGCAAGCCCUAACUUUUAUUCUUUAACGUUUCUUACUAAUCUGGUGGCUAGUGCAUAAAGGUUGAAACUUCUAUACAAGUGUUAUUUUUUUUAUGCCCAAUUUCUUCCAUCUUUGACUUUGCCUCUUCCUUUUUGCCCUUUCUCUUUUUAUUAAUCGACUGAAUCUAUUAAUUCUUAGGAUCAAAUUUUUUGAAUCUAUAAAUCUUGUUUUUGGGAGCAUGAUAAAGAUCGAUGCAUCAUGCAUUUCAUUCAUGAUAUUAUAUGUCCUUGUAUUCACUCACAUACAUAUGUCAAAAAGUAGAUUAAUAUUUAAAGAAUCCGAUUAUUAGGUUAAGUAAAAUGAAUAAAGUUCUAAAUAUGUUGUUAUAGUCAACUAAAAAUAGUGAUGAACCAAAUAGAAACAAUGAUAAGUUUCGUUCUUAAGGUUUCUCUCAAUUGAAUAUGAAACUUCCUCCUCCACUUUUAUUUCCUGCACAAAUGUAAGAGAGAGAAAAAUAAAUGUAACCAGAUUUAAUUUUGUUUACAUACAUUUGAAAUUACAUAAAUGAUUUACAUCAAGGAAAGAGAAAAAAGCAAUGACAGAGAGUUGUUAAUAAAGGCUAUUUUAGUAAUACUAAAUUUAUUUAACGGUGGUUAACAUCCAGGUAUAGCGGAAGAAUAAAAAAAUGGAUCAAAAUGUAUCAAAAAUCAUCUUUCAAGGGAGGAUAAUGUGUGUUUCAAAAUAUAUAGAAUGGGAGGGGAAUGUAAAAGCAGCAUCUUUCAAGGGGUGGGAGAUGUAAUUUACUCUUUUUAAUAUAUUAUUACGAGUUUGCAUGCUGAUACAAUGCAUGGUAAGACUUUUAUCUUAUAAUCUUUAUAAUUAUAAAAAAAAAAAAAUUAAUACUCGUGUGUUUAAAUCAGUUAUUAGGGAUAUUGCAUAUUAUAUGUAGAGGUUGGGGUUCGAAUCCCGGAUACCCCACUUCUCCACAGUUAAAUUGUGUGAGCUCUAGCCACUAGGCUACUUGACAAAAAAAAAAUUACUCUUAAACUUACCAAAAAAAAUUAUCAAUUAAAAAAUAUUUGUUCAAUUUAAUUAAUAUAGAAACAAUCUACAAUAAUAGUAACAUUAUUAUAUACUAUAAAAAAAACUUUAUUUUUAGACUUUUAUGUAAAAAAUUACUGUAUUUUUUUAUAAGAUUGUUUCUUUCAGUUUUACCCUACGCUUAAUUACCUUUUACAAUUUUAUUAUUCCUUACCAAAAUCCGCAAAAAGAAGAGCACAUUAAUGAUCGUGAUCGUUUAUUAUUUCAUUUUAUUAUUCCUACAUCUUAGAAAUUCAAAAGUCUAGAGUCUUUAUUGUAUUGUAUUGUGAACACCACUGAUUGUAUAUCAAGUGUUCAAGUCAAACUUAUUUCAUUGUAUUUUUGUUUGAUCAGAAGACUCUUGCCUGCGUGCUUGAGUAUUAGAAGACUCUUGCUUAGUGCUUGAGCAUUGGAAGACUCUUGCGUAUGUGCUUGAGCAUUUUUGAGAAGUCUCAUACUUAGAGAGUAUUGAGCAUUUGUAAUCUUUGUGAUUAUAGUGAAAUCUCCUUGGAAGUGCAAGGGGGACUGGACUACUUCCGAUUUGUGGAAGGAACCAGGAUAACUGCUUGUGUCUUGCUUUUCUUUUCUCUGCUUUGAUCUUUUCCGCUGCAUAUCUGAUUCUGAUCAUUACAUCAGAAGCAUUCUCAAAUUGCUUCUGAAGUAUUAUCAGAAGAAGUAUUUUUUUUGAGAGAAAAAGAAAACACAAUUCAACCCCCCCCCCCCCCCCCCCCCCCUUCUUGUGUUUUUCUCACCUUCAAUUGGUAUCAGAGCUUGCUCUAUUAUCAUAAGCACUUAACCAUGUGACAGAUCAAGAUCCAAGAAAAACAUGUCUGGAGGAGAGGAAUCAACUACAUCCUUAAAAUACACUAGUGUCAAACAUGACUAUGAUACUGCUGAAAGGAAAUCAGAUUCUGGAAAAGCUCCAAAGUUCAAUGGAGAUCCAGAAGAGUUUUCAUGGUGGAAAACCAAUAUGUAUAGCUAUAUCAUGGGAUUGGAUGAAGAACUAUGGGAUAUUCUUGAAGAUGGAGUUGAUGAUCUGGAUUUGGAUGAAGAAGGAGUUGUUAUAGACAGAAGAAUACACACUCCUGCUCAGAAGAAGACUUACAAAAAGCAUCACAAGAUCAGAGGGAUUAUUGUUGCUUCUAUUCCUCGUACUGAAUACAUGAAGAUGAGUGAUAAAUCCACUGCUAAGGCAAUGUUUGCAUCACUCUGUGGCAACUACGAAGGAAGCAAGAAGGUCAGAGAAGCAAAAGCCCUAAUGCUAGGUCAUCAGUAUGAGCUGUUCAAAAUGAAGGAUGAUGAGAGUAUAGAGGAGAUGUACUCAAGAUUUCAAACUUUAGUAUCUGGACUGCAAAUACUGAAGAAGAGCUAUGUCACUUCUAAUCAUGUUAGUAAGAUUCUGAGAAGCUUGCCUUCUAGAUGGAGACCCAAAGUAACUGCUAUUGAGGAAGCUAAGGAUCUAAACACUUUGAGUGUUGAAGAUCUUGUCAGUUCCCUCAAAGUGCAUGAAAUGAGUCUGAAUGAGCAUGAGUCCUCUAAGAAGAGUAAAUCUAUUGUUCUACCAUCUAAAGGAAAGUCUUCCAAAUCUUCUAAAGCUUACAAGGCCAGUGAAUCUGAAGAAGAAUCACCUGAUGAAGAUUCUGAUGAAGAUCAUUCUGUGAAGAUGGCUAUGCUGUCUAACAAGUUUGAGUAUUCUGCAAGGAAACAUAAGAAAUUUUUGAGCAAGAGGAAUGGCUACAAGAACUCCAAGAAAGAAGAUCAGAAGGGGAGCUUCAACUGUAAGAAGCCUGGUCAUUUCAUUGCUGAUUGCCCUGAUCUUCAGAAGGAGAAGUCUAAAAGCAGACCCAAGAAACCAAGCUUCAGCUCCAGUAAAUUCAGAAAGCAAAUUAAAAAGAGCUUGAUGGCGACCUGGGAAGAUUUGGAUAGUGAAUCUGGUUCUGAUAAAGAAGAAGCAGAUGAUGAUGCAAAAGCAGCCAUGGGGUUAGUGGCAACAGUAUCAUCAGAAGCAGUAUCAGAAUCUGAAUCAGAUUUAGAAUUGAAAAUGAGGUAUAUUCCAAGAUUCCCAGACAAGAACUUGUUGAUUCUCUAAAAGAACUCUUAUCACUAUUUGAACACAGAACCAAUGAGUUGUCAGAUUUAAAAGAAAAAUAUGUUGAUUUAAUGAAACAACAAGAAACAACUCUAUUGGAACUGAAAGCUUCUGAAGAAGAACUCAAAGGGUUUAACUUCAUAUCAACAACAUAUGAAGAUAGACUCAAGAUUCUUUGUCAGAAGCUACAAGAAAAAUGUGAUAAAGGUUCAGGCAAUAAACAUGAAAUUGCCUUGGAUGAUUUUAUUAUGGCUGGCAUAGACAAAAGCAAAGUUGCUUCUAUGAUCUACAGCACAUACAAAAACAAUGGCAAAGGGAUUCAAUGUUCUGAGGAGAAAUCCAAAGAGUACAGUCUCAAGAGCUACUGUGAUUGUAUCAAGGAUGGAUUGAAAUCCACCUUUGUCCCUGAAGGUACUGAUGCUGUAACUGCUGUUCAGUCAGAACCUGAAGCUUUUGGUUCUAAGGCUAAGAUUACAUCAAAGCCAGAAAACCUCAAGUCUAAGGUUAUGACAAAAUCUGAUCCUGAGACUCAAAAGAUUAAAAUUCUGAAAAGAUCAGAACCUGUUCCUCAGAGUCUGAUUAAACCAGAAUCUAAAAUCCCAAAGCCAAAGGAUCAGAAGAACAAAGCAGUUACUGCUUCUGAGAAAACAAUACCCAAAGGUGUUAAACCUAAAGUCUUGAAUGAUCAGAAGCUACUCAGCACUCACCCCAAGGUACAAGGGAGGAAAAGUAAAACCUCCAGAACUAACCCAAAAGGACCCAUGAAGAUAUGGGUACCUAAAUCUGAAUUGAUUAAAACUGCAGGUGUGCCUAAGGGCAAGAGAGAAACAAAAGUCAUGGUACCUAGACAGCGGAUGUUCAAGGCAUAUGACUGGAGAGAAAGAUUUGUUCCUUACCCUUACCAUGAAAGAUGGAGGAGAAGUGAAGUUUGGUGGCAACCCAAACUGGAAAAAUCAUUGGUACAGGUACUAUUGGUAAUUCCUCCAUUUCAAUUAAUAAUGUGUGGCUUGUAGAUGGUCUGAAGCAUAACCUAUUGAGCAUUAGUCAAUUUUGUGACAAUGAGUAUGAUGUCAUGUUCAGUAAGACCAACUGCACACUAGUCAACAAGGAUGACAAAUCCAUUACAUUUAAGGGAAAGAGAGUUAAGAAUGUCUAUAAAAUUAAUUUCUCUGAUCUGGCUGAUCAGAAGGUAGUUUGCCUUCUGUCAAUGAAUGAUAAAAGUGGGUUUGGCAUAGAAGGUUUGGACAUGCUAAUUGGAGAUUAAUUUGUAAAAUUAGCAAGUUACAACUUGUCAAAGGAUUGCCCAACAUUGAUUAUCAUUCAGAUGCACUUUGUGGUGCAUGUUAGAAAGGGAAAAUUGUGAAAAGUACUUUCAAAUCCAAAGACAUUGUAUCAACCUCCAGACCCUUAGAAUUACUCCAUAUUGAUCUUUUUGGACCAGUUAACACUGCAUCCUUAUAUGGAUGUAAAUAUGGAUUAGUCAUUGUUGAUGAUUACAACAUAUGGACUUGGGUAAAAUUCAUUAAAAGUAAAGAUUAUGCAUGUGAAGUGUUUAGCAGCUUCUGCACUCAAAUACAAUCUGAAAAAGAAUUGAAAAUUUUGAAAGUCAGAAGUGAUCGUGGUGGAGAAUUUGAAAAUGAGCCAUUUGAAUCUUUUUGUGAAAAACAUGGGAUUCUCCAUGAAUUUUCUUCUCCUAGAACUCCACAACAAAAUGGGGUUGUAGAGAGAAAGAACAGAACUUUACAAGAAAUGGCCAGAACCAUGAUCCAUGAAAACAAUUUAGCUAAACAUUUUUAGGCAGAAGCAGUUAAUACUUCAUGUUAUAUUCAAAAUAGGAUCUAUAUCAGACCUAUGUUGGAGAAAACUGCAUAUGAACUCUUUAAAGGAAGAAGACCCAAUAUCUCUUACUUUCAUCAGUUUGGAUGUACUUGUUACAUUCUAAACACUAAAGACUAUCUGAAGAAAUUUGAUGCCAAGGCUCAAAGAGGAAUCUUUUUAGGUUACUCUGAAAGGUCAAAGGCGUACAGAGUGUAUAAUUCAGAAACACAUUGUAUUGAAGAAUCUAUGCACGUUAAAUUUGAUGAUAGAGAGCCUGGAAGUAAAACUCCAGAGCAAAGUGAAAGUAAUGCAGGUACAACUGAUUCUGAAGAUGCAUCAGAAUCUGAUCAACCUUCUGAUUCUGAAAAAAAUUCAGAAACUGAAUCAAGUCCAGAAGCUGAACCUAUUCCAGAAGCUGAGUCUAUUUCAGAAGCAGAACCUAGUCCAGUAGUACAGAAUGAAAAUGCUUCUGACGACAUUCAAGAUAACACUCAGCAGGUUAUUCAACCAAAAUUCAAGCAUAAAUCUUCACAUCCUGAGGAGCUAAUCAUUGGAAGCAGAGAUAGUCCUAGAAGAACAAGAUCACACUUCAGACAAGAAGAAUCUUUGAUAGGAUUGCUUUCAAUAAUUGAGCCUAAAAUUGUUGAAGAAGCUCUCUCAGAUGAUGGUUGGAUAUUAGCUAUGCAAGAAGAGCUAAAUCAGUUUCAAAGAAAUGAUGUGUGGGAUCUGGUACCCAAACCUUUUCAGAAGAACAUUAUUGGAACAAAAUGGGUAUUCAGAAACAAGCUGAAUGAACAAGGAGAGGUAACCAGAAACAAGGCUAGACUUGUUGCACAAGGAUACAGUCAACAAGAAGGCAUUGAUUACACUGAAACAUUUGCUCCAGUUGCAAGAUUGGAAGCAAUCAGGUUACUUCUAUCCUACGCAAUUAAUCAUGGUAUAAUAUUAUAUCAAAUGGAUGUCAAGAGUGCUUUUCUUAAUGGUGUCAUUGAAGAAUAAGUGUAUGUCAAACAACCUCCUGGGUUUGAGGAUCUUAAGCAUCCUGACCAUGUUUAUAAACUUAAGAAAUCACUAUAUGGCUUGAAACAAGCUCCCAGAGCUUGGUAUGAUAGACUAAGUAAUUUCUUAAUUAAAAAUGAUUUUGAAAGAGGACAAUUUGACACAACACUCUUCAGAAGGACUCUUAAGAAAGAUAUUCUGAUUGUACAAAUAUAUGUUGAUGAUAUAAUAUUUGGUUCUACUAAUGCAUCUCUUUGCAAAGAAUUUUCUAAGUUAAUGCAUGAUGAAUUUGAAAUGAGCAUGAUGGGAGAAUUGAAAUUCUUUCUUAGAAUUCAAAUCAACCAAAGCAAAGAAGGAGUAUAUGUUCAUCAAACAAAAUAUACAAAGGAGCUUCUGAAGAAGUUCAAGCUAGAAGAUUGUAAAGUGAUGAACACUCCAAUGCAUACAACCUGCACCUUAAGCAAAGAAGAUACUGGAACUGUAGUGGACCAGAAGUUAUACAGAGGUAUGAUUGGUUCUCUGUUAUACCUCACUGCAUCUAGACCUGAUAUUUUAUUCAGUGUAUGCUUAUGUGCAAGAUUUCAAUCAGAUCCUAGAUAAUCUCAUUUAACUACAGUUAAGAGAAUCUUCAGGUAUAUGAAAGGAACAACUAAUCUUGGACUCCUGUAUAGGAAAUCCCUAGAUUACAAGUUGGUUGGAUUCUGUGAUGCUGAUUAUGCUGGUGACAUGAUUGAAAGAAAAUCAACCAAUGGAAAUUGUCAAUUCCUAAGAGAGAAUCUAAUAUCCUGGGCAAGCAAAAGACAAGCAACUAUUGCUAUUCCUACAGCAGAAGCAGAAUACGUUUCAGCUGCAAGUUGUUGCACACAACUACUUUGGAUGAAACAUCAGUUGGAAGAUUAUCAGAUUAAUGCUAACAGUAUUCCCAUCUUUUGUGAUAAUACUGCUGCUAUUUGUUUUUCAAAGAAUCCAAUUCUACAUUCUAGAGUCAAGCAUAUAGAGAUCAAACACCACUUUAUCAGAGACUAUGUUCAAAAAGGAAUUUUAGAUAUACAAUUCAUUGAUACUGAGCAUCAAUGGGCUGAUAUAUUUACAAAGCCUUUAUCUGUUCAAAGAUUUGAUUUUAUAAAGAAAAAUUUGAACAUGCACUUUGUGUCUGAUUAAAAAUUUUGCUUGUCUCUGAAUAAGAAGUUUGGUUCUGAAGUCCAUUCAGAAGCAUCUGGUCCAUCAGAAGCUCUUAACUGAGGUUCUGAGGAAAAUGUGCUUCUGAAGAUGACGUCAGCUCUAAAACUUCAGAAGCGGUAUUCUUUGCUUCUGAAUAGCAAGGCUAGUGGGAUCGUUGGCAGUUACUUUUUGUAACAGCUGUCCCAUUACCCAAAGGUUAGUUUUCUGAAAAGUUUCUGACGUGGUCUAUUUGUAUUGGAGUAUAACAAAAAGGGCAAUGAUGUUUUAUUUGCUUUUAAACGUACUAACACGCGCCCCCAAUUUGUCAUUAAUGCUAUGUUUGUUUGUCUCUUUUGAAUUGCAAACGUUUUAAUAAAAACACUUAAACAAACACACACUACUCACUUCACAACUCACACUUUCAUUUCAUCUCAAACCUUCUCUGCUAAGAAACUCUCAAACCCUAGAAACCCUUUUCAUCUUCAAUCAAUCUAAUGGCAUCUUCUAGCUCAGUUCCGUCUAUCAGAAUCAACACCAAUCAAUCAUAUGUUCUAAAGGAAAGAACUAUGACUGUACCCUUGGAUAGAUUGGACGUUCAAGUGGAAUCUUCCAUCGAUUUUGGUUCGUUGAAAAGGAAUGGGAUGGACAUUGCUGAUUAUUUUGCCGCUCAGCAUAUGAUGCAAUACGUUAGUAUGCUGAAUGGUCCUUCUUAAAUGAAUCUGGUGAAAGACUUUUGGGUUAGAGCAGAAGUGUUCGACAGAAAAGCUGCUGAAGAAGAAGAAUCUGAGAUGGUAAAGAAGAACCUUAAGCUGAAAGGGAAAUCAAGAACAGAAAUGGGUUUGAAACCGUUUGAAGGAACGGAGAUAAGGUCUGCUGUGAUGGGAAUGGAGAUCACUAUUACUACAGACAUCAUUGCAAGAGUAUGCAGAUGUGAAAACGCUGGUUUAUAUCAGGUGGAUGCUGUUAAAAGCCAGUGGGAAGACAAGGUCAAUGAAGUCCUGUUUCAAGGAAAUGCAAAGGGAAAAUCUUCAGAACUAUCACCUGUUCACAAGGUUUUCAAGAAAAUUCUGUCAGAAUGCAUUUUCCAGAAGGGAGGAGGUACAUAUUAUCCAUCUUUGGAUCACAAGGUAGUUUUGUACUGCCUUGCAACUUAUCAAAGAAUAAAUCUGCCAAAGUACAUCCUUCAUCACAUGUGCUGGGCUCUGAAGGAAAGCCAAAAGAAUGGAAGAAGGCAGAUUCCCUUUGGAAGGCUACUCUCUGAAAUUUUUGUUCAAGGGAAGCUUCUGAAGUAUCUCAGAGAAACAGGAGUAUCUUCAGAUGAAGAGCUGGCAACUGUUGUUGGAAAAAUCAUUAAUGGAAAGACUCUGAAGUCUAUGAAGCUAACUGAUAAGCUAGUCACUUCCAAAGAGGAUUUGGCUGUAGAAACUGUUCAAUCAGAUCUAAUGAUGGAUUUCCCCUCAAUCUCUAAAGAGGAUAAUCCUGAGGUUCUGUAUCAGUUCAUCAAAGCUCACUUUGAGCUUACUGGUACGAUCAUCAGUGUUGCAUCUAUUCCUGACAAGAUUGGAGGAGCACCUCUCAAAGUUAAAGGGAAGAGGUCAAGAAAAUCUGAUAAGGAUGAAGUUGCAGCAUCCAAACCCAAGAAAGCUAAAACUGCCAAGACUGAAAGCUCUAAUGUUUCUGCUUCUGAAGAAGUUUCUGCUUCUGAAGAAGUUCCUGCUUCUGAAGAAGUUGUUCAGAAGCAAAGAAACAAAAAGCCUGAGGUUCAAGCUGAUGCUAGGCAAGCUGCUCUUCAAACCAUCAGGGACAAGAAAGCAAGGAGUUUAAAGACUGCUCAAGAGCGAAUGAAGGAAGCUGCUGAACAGUUAGAAGCUGAGAGUGAUGAUGAGCCAAGACCAAAGAAGGCUAAGACUGCUGAACCAAUAGAAAUGCCUUGUUUCAGACCUACUGAUGAACAACUGCAAGAUGCUAGGGAGUAUGCUGCUUCUGAGAUAGCAAAGAGGAAGCAAAUGAGAAAGCUGUUUGAAAAACAAAGAGAUGAACAGCUCAAGGCAGCUGGGUAUGAGCUUGCUCCUGAGAAGGCUGCUGUGAUAGCUACUUUAACUGCUGAAUUGGAAGAGGAAGCUGUCAAGGAAGGAGUAAAAUUGUUAUCACAAGCCCUGAAAGGAAAGCAUGCUUCAGGAGCUACUUCAUCAGAACCAGCAUCAAAAGCUUCAGAAGCAGCUCAUCCAGAAGCUCAUUCUUCAGGUAUCCCUUCUAAAGCUAAAGUCAAUACUCAGAUUCCUGACCUUCCAUCUCCACCCUCAUCAUCCUCCACUGACUCAGAUAAUAAACCUCUGAGUCGGCACAUCAGCAAAUUCCUCACAGAUUUCAAACCAACCAAACUAACAGCUGAUGGAAGAAUAGAUUAUGAGCAAACACAAAUUGAAUUCUCUCAAGAGAGGAUAAACAUCUGUGAAAGGUUCAAUUUGCCUGCUGAUCAUUUCUUCCAACCACCCUUAGUUGAACCUGUUAGUAUCCAACACCCUGUAACCAACCAAGAAACCAACCCACAAAAUAACCAAACUCCACAAAGAGCCUCUGAGGUAGUUUCAGAAGCAACUACUUCAGAAAUCCCCCAACAACAAGAAUCCUCAACUCUUCACAACGUAGAAAAACAUCUAGGUGGUGAAAUGCAACCAACACCUACAAAGGCCUUUAAAACAGUCCCUGAAAAGACUGUUUUGGAAAACCAACAAACAGAAACCCAAUCUGAAACUCAAACCAUCCCAGAGCAAAUUGUUCCUGAACAUACUGUUCUUGAACAAGGUGCUUCUGACCUAUAGCAAAGUGUUCCUGAACAACAUGUUCAUGAACACAUUGCUUCUGACCAACAAACUACCACUGAACAACCCCAGCCUAACACAGAACAACAACAACCAGAAUCACCAACCAUCAAUCUAGCUUCUCCUGAACAACAAACAGCUUCUGACCAACCUUCUACAUCUCAAACAACCAUUCCUGAACCUUCACCCAUCCCAGACACCAUCCUGGAAUCUGAUUAUAUUGAUGAACAGCUUAUCAGGUUAAGUGAUGCGAUUCAGAGACUGAUUCUUCUCAGAACAGUUCCUGUACCUCUCAUUCACUACCUUGAUCAAUGGAUGGAUCUGAAGAAGGAUUUCAAUGAGUUGCUGGAUCAACUUAGCACAAAGUGCAUCUCAAAUCACUCUGAUAUGCUGAAGAAAAUGUUGGAUGAUAUGCAUGAAGCUGCAAGAGAAAACGAGCUUGAUUAUGUGCCUCUGUUAGCCAACACUCCUUUCUAUCCAGAAGAUGACUACAUUUCAAGGGCUGACAUGAUUUAAGAAGGGUUGAGAAGAAGACUGAGAGCUAGCCAAGAAGAACUCAAGAAGUAGUCUGAGCAGAUUAAGUACUUAAUGGAACAAGUGUCUAAGCUAUUCAAACCUUAGUUGCACACCAAUUUUGCUUGUUUAGAUUUUGUUUUAAGUAUUGAAUUGCUUUGACUAUGUAUUUUGACUUGUUUAUCAUGAAUUUAUCAUUACUUCUGAAUCUAUUGCUAAUUUCUCAUGUUUAUUAUAAUUUUGGCUCUGAUUAUAACUGUUGUAUCUUAAUGUUGUUUGCAUUGAUACACUGAUUCCAGUUUUCCUUUCUUAUUGCUCUGAUACUCUUUCUUUUGUUUUUUUUUUACUUUUUGUUGAUGACAAAAGGGGGAGUAGUUGUAUAGUAUUUUUAGGCUCUGAGCCUCAUUAAAUUAACUUGAUUAAGUUAACUUUUUGAUGAGCUUUGCUCUGAACCAUUUUCUUUAGCUCUAAACCUUCUUUUUAAUACUUCUGAUAUUUCAUUAUCUUGUGCGUAUUUUAUUGAAAUUUAAUUAAUGAGUAUAGAACUCAGGGGGAGCUUACAAACCUCACCUUAAAGAUCUAUUAGACUCUGGGGGAGCUUACAAACCUCUAUCCCGGUAUUCAACUUAUUAAUUAGAUCAACAACAAUUGAACAUUUUAAAUACUAUUGUUUGUCAUCAUCAAAAAGGGGAAGAUUGUUGGAACAAAAUGUGUUUCACAAUGAACCUUAAUGAGUUUUGAUGCUAACAAGGUAUUAAAAAUUGUCAAUUGGUUAUUGCUAAUAAUUGUUCAAAUGUACAGGACCAAAAACUAGUCAAGUAAUUUCAAUAGGUCUUGGAAGAACAAUGGAGAGCAAAGGAAUUCGAAGCAUCUGAAGAAAACUGCGUCUGAAGCUAAAGUGCUUCUGAAGCUGAAGUUCUUCUGAAGUGAUGACGUCAUCAGAAGCAGAAAGUCAUCAGAAGCAAAGUUUUCAUCAGAAGCGAUAUCAUCACCAGAAGCUAUAUUUGAUCCGCAAAUUCAAACUGAAGAUCCAAAGUAGUUGUUUCUCAUUUCAACCUCGUCUAAGAAGAACGAAGAAUUGAAAGGGAGGUAUCAAUGAUCAUUUGAAGUCCAUUGAGUAUUUGUCCUUCGUUAACAGAGUUGACAAAGUACAAGUGUACAACCACUACCUCCACUACUCUGUUUUUGUCCACGCUACAAGACAAGACAACAGCUAUGCCUGCAGAAUUUGUGCCUUCAAGAUGGGAAUGAAUUUGAAGCUAAUUCUUCAAAGGACUACACCCAAAUCAGGCAAAGGAUUACUGGUGAAUGAUCAAAGGAUCUCAACGACUCUUUAGACGUGCUAAUCAUCUCAACGUCUCUUUCACGCCUCUAUAUAAAGGAGUGAAGACUUGAAGAUUGAAGAGAUAGAGAUAUAUACAAGUUAAAAAGCGCCAAAACUCUGUCAAUUUGAUUCUACAAAGCACACUGAAUUUCUGCACUGAUUUGAUACAUCUUAGAAAUUCAAAAGUCUAGAGUCUUUAUUGUAUUGUAUUGUGAACACCACUGAUUGUAUAUCAAGUGUUCAAGUCAAACUUAUUUCAUUGUAUUUUUGUUUGAUCAGAAGACUCUUGCCUGCGUGCUUGAGCAUUAGAAGACUCUUGCUUAGUGCUUGAGCAUUGGAAGACUCUUGCGUGAGUGCUUGAGCAUUUUUGAGAAGUCUCAUACUUAGAGAGUAUUGAGCAUUUGUAAUCUUUGUGAUUAUAGUGAAAUCUCCUUGGAAGUGCAAGGGGGACUGGACUACUUCCGAUUUGUGGAAGGAACCAGGAUAACUGCUUGUGUCUUGCUUUUCUUUUCUUUGCUUUGAACUUUUCCGCUGCAUAUCUGAUUCUGAUCAUUACAUCAGAAGCAUUCCCAAAUUGCUUCUGAAGUAUUAUCAGAAGAAGUAUUUUUUUGAGAGAAAAAGAAAACACAAUUCAACCCCCCCCCCCCCCCCCUUUUUUUUUUGUGUUUUUCUCACCUUCAACUCAAACCCGUCGGAGAAGUAGAUGAGAUUAAAUUUCUGAUCCCCAUUGAAUAUGAGUAGGUAACAUAUAAGUAUAUGAAAGUCGAGGAACGAAAGGUAAACGUAAAAACCUUCUCGAUUACACCCCAUUGUAAUGACUUAUGCAUCCGAGAUCAAACCGAACCAUGAUUCUAUCUUUGAACUUUAUGGGGGAGUCAACACUGGUGUGGACGAGCCUAUUCAACAAAAAUCAACUACACAAAUGAGAAUGAUAUUACAUCUUCUUAAAAUAUUUUAAGUAUAACAAAAUUCUAACCCGUGCGCCUAUCUAAAUAAGUAUUUGAAACAUCGAUUUUUUUACUCUGCAAAAAAAUAUAAUAUAUUUUAGAGACUAAAAAACAAUAGCCUAGCGCCCGUGCAUUGCACGGGUUAACACACUAGUAGUAAUAAUAAAUCUUGUGUUAGAAGGGCUUGUUUCAUGUGAUUAAUUUAUGUAUAUUUUAGGCCAAAUACCUCCAUGGGUCAUUUAAGUUUUAUGUUUGUUUCAGAUAGGUCCUUUAAGUUUCUAAGGUUUUAGAUAGGUCUUGUUUCGAGUUUGUUUCGGAUAAAUCCUUUAAGUUUCUAAGGUUUCGGAUAAGUCAUUUAAGUUUCGAGUUUGUUUCAGAUAGGUCCUUUCUAUCAAAUCAACUUUGGCUUAACGGAUGUUGAUAGAAAUGACCUAUCUGAAAUAAACUCGAAAUUUAAAGGAUCUAUCUGAAACCUUAGAAACUUAAAGGACUUAUCUGAAACAAACUUGAAACUUAAAGGACCUAUCUGAAACAAACUUGAAACUUAAAGGACAUGUUUGAAACCUUAGAAACUUAAAGGAUCUAUCUGAAAUAAACAUGAAACUUAAAGACCAGAAGAGAUAUUUGACCUAUAUUUAUGUUGGCGUUUUUAAAAAUAAUAAUAAUAAUAAAAUGGUACACAUAGCACCUGUCUUUUACAAUUGGAGUCGGUUGAAAAGCGCUUUGAAAAGCAUUGGAGUUUUUUUUUUGACAAAAAAAAAUAUUAUUUUUUUAAAAAAAAAUCCCAAAGCCAAUGAAAAAGUGACAUGUGUCACCUUGUCAUUGGUUCUGGGAUUUUUUUACAAAAAAAUUAAAUAUAUAUUUAAAAAAAAAUUCUCAGAGCCAAUGACAAGGUGACACGUGUCCACACUUAACGUUUUUUAUUAAAACUAACGGAAACCUAACAGAAGGGACCAAAACGAGACUAAAAAAAAACUUAAAAUCCUCAAACAAUCUUUUUUUUAGUUAAGGGACCAAAGCAAUACCAAUUAAAUAGUUAAGAGACUAAAAAAGCAUUUAAGCCAUUAUUUUAAUUAUUGCUAGUAUAUGGAAGGUCAGGAACAAAAUAUGUUUUGAAAGCCUUGAAAACCCAACGGUAGUGCAAACCGGACAUAAUUCCAUUAAUAGUUUCCACAAUAAAAAUGCUUUGCUCAUGCAGAAUCAGAUUGACCAGCACUAAUGGUCAAUCUUCCAUAGUGUAUGAUAGACGAGUGGCUAAUCUGCUGGCACACUACAUUACUAAAAAAACAAAUAUUAGUGAGGAAAAUUUUGUGAGGGAAAACGUGAAAUCCCUCUCUAAUUCCGUCAUUAAAUUUUGCGACUAUGGAAUUUGUGAGAAAUUUCAUUUUUUCCGUCACUAAUUUCCCUCGCUAAUUUUGUUUUUUCUAGUAGUGCUAUCUAGCAAAAUUUUCUCUUUCAAAUCUGGAUUGUGUUUGGAUUGAAGAUGCUGACAGUUGUAUUUAUGUUGUCUUGUAUUGAAAAGGUGUGAAAAUGAGAAAUGAUUCAUUAGAUUGAAAAGUGGUUACAACAUCCUUAUUUAUUAAUGGUUUAAUAGAUGCUUUGGUCCGUUAACUUAUUUUUGGAUUUCAUUUUGGUCCCCUAACUAUAAAGUGUCUCAAUUUGGUCUCAUGAGUCUUCUGCCGUUUACUAUUUUGGUCAUCUCCGUUAGAUUUUAACAUCAAAAUUCUAAGGUGAACCAUAUUUAAAGGUGGUUCACCAUAGAUCGUAUUAAAUUUUUUAAUUUUAACCAUUUGAUUUUUUCUUUAAAAGAGGACCGUUGAAUUAUGUAGGGUCUAUUGUACUUUCCUGUGAACCACUAACACCUAACACUUUUCUCAUUUUCUUCAUCUUCUUCUCUCAUCAUCUUCAUCAAUCCUACCCAGGAAAGCAAAAAAAUCAGAAGCACAAAACUUCAUAUAAAAAAUUCAAACUAAAACAACAAUAAACUUCAUUAAAUUAAAAUACAUAAACCUUCAAAUAGAAUUAAAACCCUGAUUUUUUUCUAAAAAAAUCCAGAAAUCAUCAUCUAUAGCAGCAACAACAUCAAGAAAUCAAAUUCAACCAUUUUUGAUUCUUUUCAUCAUCAUCAUCAUGAAUUAAAAAAAAAUGGAUUUCUCCAAAUUCAGCACAUAAACAGCACAACAACAACAUGGUGCUUUGAAACAACAACAACAUCAUAAAAAAUUUAUCUCUCCUUGUUGCAUGAUUCUAAAUCAAACACAACACCACACCCAACACCGAAUCGCACAAAUUAGAUGGAACAAACCAGAAGCUGAUUAUGUAAAAGAUAAUAGUGAUGCUAAUUUGUCUGAAAUUGAUACAUGGGGAUUAGGGGCAGUAAUUCGAGAGUGACUGUGAUAAACUUGUAAGAAGGGUGUACGAAAGUGUUUCUGUUUCUAGAUAUUACAUGGGAAAGAUAGUGAUGGGCAUUAGAAAUAUGAAAUGUCUUUUUUAUAAAGUGUAAAUUUCGAUUUACUAAGAGGGAUGGGAAUAAAUUGGCUCAUGAGCUAGCCAAAUAUACUUUAGUAUGUUGUGUGGAUGAAAUCUGUUCCAGAUCACAUUAUGUCCAUUUGUAAUGUUGGUUUAAUUCUUUAAUAAAAUGUUCUUUUUAUAAAAUAAAAAAAAAUGUUCCUUGAAUUUUGUAUGAAUAUGAGAAGGGGUGGAAGGAAGAAGAUGAAGAAAGGGAAAAAAUUAUGUGGUGAUGGUUCACUACUGUAUAUAAUGGACCUGCAAUAUAAUGGUUGAAAUUAUAUCAUAAAUAUUUGACAUUAAAAAACAAACGGAGGGGACCAAAAUAGUAAACGACAGAAGAUUUAUAGGACCAAAUUGAGACACUUUAUAGUUAGGGGACCAAAAUGAAAUUCAAAAAUAAGUUAAGGGACCAAAGCAUGUAUUAAGCCUUUAUUAAUUUUGUUAGGUCUGCAGCAAUUUAACCUAAUAUUUUUCCCUUAUUUGCUGUAUUAGGUUAGCAGUAAUUUUACCUAACAAAUUUCAUCUAAAAAAAUGCAUUGCACCAAUUUCAUUCAUAUCCUCUUGCCUUUUUUUUUGACAAUAUUCUGUACACUUAUUUAAUACUAAAAAAAAUGCAUCGCACCAAUUUCAUGUUUUUCUUGGCAAAAUUACACUUUUAGUCCCUUAACUUAAUUUUAGGUAACAGUUUGAUCCUUUAUCUUUUUUUCAUUUCAAUUUUGUCAUUUUUGUUCAUUUUCAUAUACAUUUUUAAGCUUAAAAUUCAUGAUUUUAUUUUCUUAUGGUCUUCCAGUCUUCAAAUCUAUGAUCCUCGUCUAUGUUUGCAUAAGAAUAUUAGAUUUGAAGCUUGAAAAUGUAUACGAAAAUGGACAAAAAGGACCAAAUUGAAAUGAAAAAAAGAUAAAGGACCAAAUUGUUACCUGAAAUUAAGUUAAGGGAUUAAAAGUGUAAUUUUACCUUCUUUUUUUUUUUUACAAUAUUUUGUACACUUUUUUUUUAAGGAAAUAUUUGGUACACUUAUUUUAUUUUUUACAUAGUUUUUCUUUAGUAUUUGAAGUCCAGAAACUAGAGUCUGAAAUCUUGAGUACAUUUGCUCAAUACUUUCAUCAUCUUUCAUUUUGAACAACUCAUACUGAUGAACAAGUAUAAGAGCUUUUGCUUCUCUGACUUUCUUACUACCUUCAUAGUUAGCAUAGAGAGAAGCAAACAUUGACUUAGCAGUGGAUUUGUCAUUCAUCUUCAUAUACUCUGCUUUAGGUAUAGCUUUAACAAGUGCUCCUCUGAUUGUGUGAUGCUUCUUGUAGAAUUUCUUCUGAGCAGGAGUAUGUUUUCUUCUAUCAAUAGUAGCUCCUUCUUCAUUAACGACCAAGUUACCAUACCAUCUUGUAGUAUAUCCCAUAAUUCUUCAUCUAAGCCCAUGACAUGACUAUAGAAGUUGGUCUUCCACCAGGAAAAUUCUUCAGCAUCUCCAUUGAACUUUGGAACUUUUCCAUAGUCAGAUUUCUUUUUGCUACCAUAAUCAUAUGGAAUAGCAUUUCUCGUACUGGAUUCAGGUUCCGCACCAGACAUGUUUUUCUCAGAUCUUUUUCUGUUACACUGUUAAGUGUUUUGACAACAGACCAAGGCUCUAGAUACCAAUUGAAGGUGAGAAAAAACACAAGAAGGGGGGGUUGAAUUGUGUUGGCUUUUUCUUCAUCUUCUUCUCCUAAGCUGAAAACACUGAUCAGAAGCAGAUAGAGUUCUACUUCUAAAGUGAUGUUCAGAACUAGUUGCAGCGGAUAAACAGAGAGAGAGAGAGAGAGAGAGAGAGAGAGAGAGAGGAAAGACACAAAACAAUUUAUACAGGUUCCUUCCUCAAACCGGAAGUCAGUCCUGUCCCCCUUGCAUUUCCAAGGAGAGUUUUCACUAUGUAAUAUCUGAUUACAAUUGCUCACCGCUAAAACUAGCAAGAGACUUCAAAUGCUCAAGCACAACUGCAAGAGACUUUCUAUGCUCCUGAACACAAUCAAGAGACUUCUAAUGGUCAAGCACAACUGCAAGAGACUUCUUAAUUCAAACAGAGACUUCUGAGCAGGAGUAUGUUUUCUUCUAUCAAUAGUAGCUCCUUCUUCAUUAACGACCAAGUUACCAUACCAUCUUGUAGUAUGUCCCAUAAUUCUUCAUCUAAGCCCAUGACAUGACUAUAGAAGUUGGUCUUCCACCAGGAAAAUUCUUCAGCAUCUCCAUUGAACUUUGAAACUUUUCCAUAGUCAGAUUUCUUUUUGCUACCAUAAUCAUAUGGAAUAGCAUUUCUCGUACUGGAUUCAGGUUCCGCACCAGACAUGUUUUUCUCAGAUCUUUUUCUGUUACACUGUUAAGUGUUUUGACAACAGACCAAGGCUCUAGAUACCAAUUGAAGGUGAGAAAAAACACAAGAAGGGGGUUGAAUUGUGUUGGCUUUUUCUUCAUCUUCUUCUCCUAAGCUGAAAACACUGAUCAGAAGCAGAUAGAGUUCUACUUCUAAAGUGAUGUUCAGAACUAGUUGCAGCGGAUAAACAGAGAGAGAGAGAGAGAGAGAGAGAGAGAGAAGAAAGACACAAAACAAUUUAUACAGGUUCUUUCCUCAAACCGGAAGUCAGUCCUGUCCCCCUUGCACUUCCAAGGAGAGUUUUCACUAUGUAAUAUCUGAUUACAAUUGCUCACCGCUAAAACUAGCAAGAGACUUCAAAUGCUCAAGCACAACUGCAAGAGACUUCCUAUGCUCCUGAACACAAUCAAGAGACUUCUAAUGGUCAAGCACAACUGCAAGAGACUUCUUAAUUCAAACAGAAUUACAAAGAAAAAUGUUUGAGGUUGAACACUUGAUAUACAAUAAGUGGUGUUCACAAUACAAAUCAGAUACAUACUCUUAAGACUCUAGAAUUUCUAAGAUAUGAACUUUGAUAAGAAAUUCUAAGUGAACUUUGAGUGAAGAACAAUUUCAGCAGAGUUUUUACACUUGUAAUUCUUGGUAUUGUUCUGUUUAUAACUCUGAGUCUUCACUCCUUUAUAUAGAGGUGUGAAAGAGACGUUGAAUUGUCAGCUUAUUCAAAAUAGAGUCGUUUGAAGCUUUUGAUCAAUCACCAAUGAUAUUUUGCCUGAUGUAGUUAUUGUCCUAUGAAGGAUCAAUUUUAAAUGCAUUCCCAUUGUGAAGGAACAUCGUUGCAGGCAAAGUUGUUUUUCUUGUCUUGUAGCAGAGACAAAACAGAGUAGUGGAGAUAGUGGUUGUACACUUCGUACAAACAUACUUUGUCAACGCUCUUUGAAGAACAAGCAUCCAAUGCCUUCAAAUCCUUUCAAAAUAGUCGUUGCUUCACUUUUUCAGUCUUCUGCAAUGCAUAGACGAGAUUGAACCCAUUGAACAGCUUUUGAAGCUCAAAGUUGUAUCUCCUGAUGAACUGCUGCUUCUGGUGAUUUUCAGAUUCUGAUGAACUUGCUUCUGAUGACGUCACCACUUCAGGAGCACUUUGUCUUCAGGAGCAGUUCUCUUCAGAUGCUUUAAACUUCCUUUUUGUUGAUUCCUUUGCUCUUUAUUAUUCUUCCAAGACCUUUUUAAGAUGUCAAAUUUUGUCUAUAGUCUUGUACACUUGAACAAAUAUUAGCAUAUCCAAUUGACAAAUUUUAAUACCUUGUUAUCAUCAAAACUCUCAAGAGUUAAUAUUAAACACAUUUUAUUCCAACAGUGCGUCUUUGGUUGCUUUCAUGGUUAGCUAAUUCACACAAUAAUCACUAGUUCGAUAAAUUUCCUAACAAAGAUAAUGUUGCGUUUGAUUAAAAAAAAUUAUCACUCUAAUGCUAUUAUUACUAAAUGUUAAUCCUAAUCCUAAAUGCAAAAUUAAAAGGACUGACUCUUAAUAUUAAAUAACUUAGUGUUUACUAGACUUGAUCUAAUGACUUGAGAUAUUAUAACACUUGUUAUGUUUACUAUGACUCUCUAAAAAUGCAAUGCAAAUUAAUUAUGACUUAAACUCCGACUCUAAAAAAUAAAAGGAAAAAUAAAAUGUUAGUUCUUAUAUGAGAAAAGAAAAUAAAAUAAAAAUAAACUAAAUGUAAACAUAAAAAUAAACUAUGUUAAUAACAACUAAAAGAAAAUUAACUAUAUGAUAGACUAGUCUAAAAAAAAUGAUUCAAUUAGGACUAAAUAUUUUUGGUAUUUAUGAAUUUUUAAUUUUUUGGUAUUUUUUUUAUUUUUAAAACAGAAAAUAUAAAAUGCGGAAAAAUAAAUGACAAAAAUUUGAAUGACAGAAGAUGAUGAUGGUUUUAAUGAAUGUGGUGAUGAAGAUGAUGAAGAAGUUAAGGGAAGAAGAUGAAGAAAUGGAAAAUUAAUUAGAUUUUGUUGACUCAUCAUAAGAUAAAAUAGACUUGUGUAAUUCAAUAAUCCUCCUUUAAAAAUAAACCUAAACGGUUUAAAUAUGAUCUAUGGUGGACCACUCUUAAGGUUGGUCCACCAUGAACAUUUGGGAUUAAAGUUAAUAACCAGAGGUUUAUUUGAAUAACGAAGGUUAACUUGAAGGAUCAAAACAUUGAUUUUAUGAGUUAUAAAACCAAACUGAAAACUAAAAUUAAUUAGAUGAUCAAAAGACCAAUUAAACCUAAUUAAAAGACAAUAGCAAUUAGCAACAAUGUCUCAUACAUUGAAAUAACAUAAAAAAGAGGAGUGAUAUUUGUACCAUUAACAUUAGACAAUUUUAAUGACAGCCACUUUUCUCCUCUUGUGAUUGGACCAAAACAAUGGAGAGAGAAAUAAUAAGAGAGAAUAAAAACAUAUAUGAGUAUGAGAGAGGAAGUUAUUUCGAAAGUUAUCAAAAAAUAAUCGUACAAAUAUCAUUUCUCUAAAAAAACAGUUUUUUUAAGGAUAAAAAACAGGAACUUGAUCUUGAUGUUCGUAACUGUCUGUGACAUGAUAUUGUAGAAACAUUGAGUUGUUUGUUAAAAUAUGUCUAAUCAACUAUUUUUUUUUUUUUUAAAAAGAAUGUCUAAUCAACAUCUCACGCUGCUCAUUAAUUAAUAAUUGAGAUGAAAUGUACUAUUAAAACGUGUGAAAUUAGUUUAACAUGUAAAUAUUGCUUUCCUUCAAAAAAAAUGUAAAUAUUGCUUCAAUAUUUUUUUUAAGUGACAUUAUUGAUGGAAUGAUAAUGUAAAGUUAUGAUAAAAUAUACAUAUAUUUCAUUUAUGUUAAAAUAUUAGUUUUGAUUUAGUGCAGAUUCAAUCAAUGACUUUUGCAUCUUCAACAUUGCAGAUCCGAAAACAUGAGUAUUUUGUUGAUUUGAAUAUAGUCAUGUUUGUAGGCAUAUGUGUACUCUGUCGUCUUAUGCUACUAACAUAAAUGUUGUGAUUUUGUUCGCAAAUUCGUCCUUUUUGUUUUUAACAACUUUAAAUUUCUAUUGUAUCGAUAUAUUAUAUCAAUUUGAAUGAAUGAAUAUCGUUUAUUUGUCACAAAAAAAAAACUAUUUAUUACUUUAUCUUUCUUCAAUUCUUUUAAUGUAUUUUUUCCAUAUGAUUAAUGAAAGAUAUUUUUGUAAAAUAAUUCAUAAUUACUCUUUUUUUUAUAGAAUAUUGAUUACAUGUCUUAAUUUAUAUGAGAUUGUUAAAGCAACGUAUAAUUUAGGACAAUUAUAUUAUUAUUAUUAUUAUUAUUAUUAUUAUUAUUAUUAUUAUUAUAGAUAUAGAUAUUUGUUUUAAAGAAUGUUUAUUAUUAUUAUUAUUAUUAUUAUAGAUGAGAUGUACAAUUAGAACAUGUGAAAUUUGUUUAACAUGUAAAAUAUAGCUUCAAUCAUUUUCCAAGUGGUAUGCAUAAUAAACGAGCUAUUUCUCAUAGGUGUUGAGUAUCUAGCUAUAAAUAGGUGAUUAACUAGUUAUAGGAUCAUUCAUUCAACACUAAACUCAUAUAGACAUUGGGGCUUUAAUUUGAUUCUUAAGAUGAGAGCUGCUCUUGCUUUAUUGCCUCUCUUGCUUUUCAUGGUAAGUUACACUUUUCUUGAUCUUAGUUACUAUCAGUAGUAUAGUGCUAUCUUUUUUUUUUUUUUUGUUUAUUUAAUAUUUUUGAAGUUCAAUUAAUAAAACAUUAAUGAUUAUUUUAUCAAUAAUGUAUUUAAGUAUUUUUGGUCAAAUAGCCUAGCUACUAUAGAAAUUUACCUUAAAGGUGAAUAAGUAUUGGUUAUCCAGGGUUCGAACGCCAACCCCAACAAUAUAAGUAUUCGAUGCAAUUGAAACACAGAUGGAAUGAGAAUAAUUAUUUAAUUAUAUAGACGGGAAAAAAAAAUUAAUCAAAGUAAUAAAUUUUUUACAUUUCUUGAUAUGUGUAAUAAGUUAAAAAUGAAAACUAAAAAGUAAUAGAUGUAGUAUUUGCACGAUUUACUUUUUAUUUCAUUCAUCUCAUAAUAUUUGUCAACUAUUCAAAUUCUUUUAAAAAUAUUUUUUGUCAACUUUGCAAAUAAAAUGUAUCCCAAAAACAAAGUCACAUUAAGUUUUCAAGUUUAAUUUAGAUAUUUUUGUAAUUGUAUCCUCUAAUUAAUGCAAUUUUAUGAAAAGUAAAAGUUAAUUUGUGGUUAAUUAUGAUAGUUUCUAAUGUUCAAUAUCAUUUAUCACUUUCAUUAUAAUAACUAACCUCAAGAUGAGCACGUACUAAUGUGCCGUUUUUCCUCUUUUAAAGAUGAAAAUAAUUGAAGUUAUACAUUUUAUUCGAUUAUGUAAAAAAAUUAAAUGAUUUCUUAUAUUGGGUUAGAUUUAUGUCCACAUAGACUUUGUUUUUCUUCUUUCAUCAAUAAACUUGCUCACCUAAUUGAAAACAAAAAAGCAAUGAUAUGAUGGAAAAAGAUUAGGUCAAGGGUAAAAUUAGAAUAAAAAAAAUCUUACAAUAUCAAUUUUGGCAUAUAUUUUGAUCAAACAUUUAUGACAAAUAAGAUUAAAUUAAAUUAUUUUUAGUGUUUACUACUGUUCCUAUUGUAGUAAAAAAAAUUAUACUUAUAUGUAAGUAUAUUUCUUUUUAUCUCUAUGUAUAUUUUUUUCUAAACUUUAUAUGAUAUUAUAUUAUGGUUGUUUUUUGACUCAAUAAUAUAUUGUCCUAAACACGUCGUAAUCUCAAUCAAAAUCGGAGGAGAAGCAAAACCAAAAGGUUGUUUUUUGACACAAUUAUUUUAAAGGAUAUCAACACUACCUUAACUAGGAAGACCAUUGUUUUUUCUUUUGGCUUCUUAUUAUUUUUUUUUUUUCUUCAAUAAAGUUUGUAGCAAUUGUAGAAUCAAGAAAUGAUCUGCGAGAACAUUGGAAACUAGUCAUGAAAGACCAAGAUAUGCCGGAAGAAAUUCAAGGACUCCUCAACGCCAACACUAAAAGUAAUAUCAUGACCAUGGACCAUUAUUCUAAAGGUUCAAAAUUAGGUUGUGAAGAGCUACUUGUUAAAGACACACUAGUCACUAAUGAGAAUGUGUUUGAAGAGAACAUUGAACCAAGACCCAAUAUUUCGUCAUAUGAGAAUGAUGAAACUAACAUUAAGGAAAACAAGAAAGACACCAAAGAUUUUGAAUCAAGGCCCAACAUUUCAGCUUACGGAGAUAAUGACAUUAAUGCUACGGAAAAGAAUGGAGACACUAAAGAUUUUGAACCUAGACCCAACAUUUCAGCUUAUGGAGACAAUGAGAUUGAUGUUAAAGAAAAGAAGGGAGCCGCUAAAGAUUUUGAACCAAGACCCAACAUUUCAGCUUAUGGAGACAAUGAUAUUGAUGUCAAGGAAAAGAAGGGAGCCACUAAAGAUUUUGAACCAAGACCAAACAUUUCAGCUUAUGGAGACAAUGACAUAGAUGUGAAUGAAAAGAAGGGAGCUGCUAAAGAUUUUGAACCACGACCCAACAUUUCAGCUUAUGGAGACAAUGACAUAGAUGUUAAUGAAAAGAAGGGAGCUACUAAAGAUUUUGAACCACGACCCAACAUUUCAGCUUAUGGAGACAAUGAGAUUGAUGUUAAGGAAAAGAAGGGAGCCACUAAAGAUUUUGAACCACGACCAAACAUUUCAGCUUAUGGAGACAAUGACAUAGAUGUGAAUGAAAAGAAGGGAGCUGCUAAAGAUUUUGAACCACGACCCAACAUUUCAGCUUAUGGAGACAAUGACAUAGAUGUUAAUGAAAAGAAGGGAGCUACUAAAGAUUUUGAACCACGACCCAACAUUUCAGCUUAUGGAGACAAUGAGAUUGAUGUUAAGGAAAAGAAGGGAGCCACUAAAGAUUUUGAACCACGACCCAACAUUUCGGCUUAUGGAGAUAACGAGAUUGAUGUUAAGGAAAACAAUGGAGCCACUAAAAUUUUUGAACCAAGACCCAACAUUUCAGCUUAUGAUAACAAUGACAUUGACACUAAGGAAAAGGAGAAAGCUGCCAAAGAUUUUGAACCAAGGCCUAAUAUUUCGGGUUAUGGAAACAACGACAUUGAUGCUGAUAAGAAUGAGGAAUUCACAAACGAUUUUGAACCCAAGCCAAGUGUCACUAAAUCUGAUCAUUAAAUGUAAUAAUGAAAUAGAAUGCAACUUCAAUAUGUGAUGUAACAUAUUUAAAUAAGUCGUUGCAGCUUCAUGUUCAAUGAUUAUGUAGUGUGUGUAUGAUGACAUUUUGAAUAAUUGUAUUAUUGUCAAGUUAAGAGAUUGCUGAUGGAACUUCCUAAUUGUUUACCAAGAAAUGUAAGUAGCCUUGGUGAUUAUAGGGUUUUUCAAUAGAUUAGCAAAGUAUUCAUAAUACAAAGCAAUGGAAAUGUAUAAAUAUUAAAAAUGAUAAAAAAGACUAAACGACUAGUAUUUCUAUAGUCCCUCCAUUCCAAAAUAAGCGUUGUGAUAGAUUUUUUCACAGAUUCAGAAAAGCACUAAAUUAUGAAAGAUGAUGCAAUUUUACAAAAAUUAUCCUAAUAAACAAACUAUUAUUAACCAUUUUCAUAAAUGUACAGUGGAAUAUAAUGACUUGAAAGUGGUGUAGACAAUGUCAAUAUUACUUUAGGAAUAUAAUUGGAAAAUAAAUAAUUAAUUUCACAUUAAAAAGGAAUUGAAAGAUACAACAUCAAUAUAAAUUGUAGAAAAUGACUCACAUUAUAGGCCGCUGAACCAUAGAACUUCCUUGAAAUAUACUAUUUUAUUUUUUUGUUAAAUCAACUCAAUUCUGAUUUUUUUUAUUAAAAAAAUUAGAAAUAUAAAAAAAAAAAAAGAUGGUAAAAUCAAUUAAUUAAAUUGCCUUGUGAGAUGAGGAAGUGUUUCAUAUCAAUGCAAGAAAGACGGCACAAGAACCUGGAUAAAAAGAAUAACAAAACUGAAUUUCCUGAGAACAUCAUCAAAUCUGAUAAAUAUGUCAUGUUAUGCUUCAUAUUACACAAGGGAGGUGCAAACAACUCUAUAGCUCUAUAGAGCUGGGCCUCUCCAAUUUUGGGGCCCAAAAUUAUUAUGUUUUGAUAUAUAAUGCACAAAACAUGUUUAUAUAUACUUGUAGCAUUGUGAAUUUAACAUCAGUGAAGGUGUGGCCCAGUGGUAAAAGAUGCUAGUGUUAUGCGUGUUGAUUGCGGUUUGAUUCCUAUUGAUGGCUACUGUUCACAUUUUACUAUUUUUCAGCAUUACGCUAGUUUAUUUUUCUCUGUUUUACAAAAAGUUUGUAUUUUUUUAGGAGCCAAUUUUUUCAAGAGAGCCGAGCCUCAGAUUUUACAGGGACGUCCCUGCUUACAAUGCAAUAGGAAAUGUUGUAAGUUCAAAAACACAAGAUGUGUAAUUGCUCCACGUAUCAAGAGGAAGAAACGAUAAAUUCUCGAGUACUUGCAUUUUAGGAACUUAUCAUUUACGAAGAUAUCGGAGACACAUGGAAAAAUAGUUUGACUCACAUUAUAGACCAUCUAUCGGGAAUGUAGUGAGAGAUGGAAUAUUCCAGAGUUCCAAACGUUGAAGACAAGUGCUGUUCAUAAGCAUUUUAGGAAGAGACAUCAGUGUAUGAUCCCAACCAAUCGAUACAUGUCGUAGCAGAGACGGGGAAUCACUCCUAAGCAACCAUCGUUGGAUAUAGGAAUCCAUACAUGACCUUGUUUUGUUGAAAUUAUCAGAAAAAUAAAUGGAUAAUGCUUUUCCAACAUGCUUGGUUCGAAACUUGGACUUGGUGCGUGAAUAAUUUGAUUGUAGGCUACACACUAUUGGGUUUGGUGCGUGAAUAAUUUGAUCGGUGGUCUAACUGAAUAGGAUAUGAUACCAUAUUAGUUUAUUCAAUUUUUAUACAUAUUCAGCCAAAAACUAUUUUUCCAUGUGUCUCCGAUAUCUUCGUAAAUGAUAUGUCAAACUAUUAACUGGAACUUUAUAAUUGAAUACAUCAUUUCUAUACUAAAAACUGCAAGGUUCAUAAUUUUAUAGACCUUUCAAGGUUCAAUAGAUCAAAAUAUUGAAACAGAUAAUGUUUGACUCACAGAACAUACACACAGAACAAAAUGGACUGAAGUUUUGUCUUUAUCUUGAACAACAAGCAAUGUUUAAAUUCCAAGAGGAAAAUAAAAUUUAAAAUCUAAAUUUAAAUGAGUGAAACCGCAUAACAGCAACAAUCACACAAACAUACAUUGUAUGUUGGUCUAAGACUAAUGUGAAAUUAUUGGUUAAUGCACCAUUACAACAAACCAGUGUGAUCCCGUGCUAAGCAACCUAACCAGUUGUGCCAUUUUGAAAACAUCCUUCAUCUACUUUGAUCCUUGUUGUGCCAAUGUUCGGCUGCUCCAAGAUUUCUGGCUCUGAAACUAUGGUUGGCUUCGGCUUUGAGGGAUUAGCGUUAAAAAACUCUGCGGAAAAUCUGGAUUCCUCCAUAGCGAUGGACACACCAGAAAGGUGUUUUGUUAAAAAUCAAUUGGUUCCAACCCUUCCAAAUAAACCACAAUGUAACACCGAAUAAAUGGCUAGCCAUGGUAUCCGAGUCUGUGAUCCACUGUGCUAGCCUAAUCUGUUGAGGAACAUGAAUGCCAAGAGCUGAAGGAAACCAAAGUUGUUGUCGACUGUCGUAUAUUUGUGACUGUUGAUACCAAAAACGAAGGCAAAAAAAAACGUAAAUAUCAGUUAGUUGAAUUGAGCAUAACUUCGGAGAGUUAACAGCAUGCAUCAUGGACAAAGAGUACAAUAAAAAAAUAACAUGCAAGUGAAAUAUUAUCAUAAAAUUGAGAAUCAUACACAGAAAUGGAUAACUCGUUGCGAUAUGAGAAUGUGGAAGUGUUUGAAUUGAAUUGCAUGGAUUCUGAAUACAAAAAUUGAGUUUCAUUAUCUUCUCAUUAUUGAUUAAUAAUUUAACAUAGUUUUAGAAUUGUGAAAGUAAAUUUUGGUGUGAGUCUUGUUUUGCUCAAUUUGAUAAUCAUUGCAUGAAAAUUAACCGUUUUCAUAUCAAUUCAAUGAAUCUAGAAUUUUCUCUCGAUUUCUCUCUUUCUUCCUUGUUAAGCUUCUGCAUUUCUUCUACUUUCACCAUGGAUAUGGUGAAGUUUAACAUGCUUCUUGACCUGCAAAUUCAAGAGCUGAGAAUUUUGAUUCCAUUAUUAAAUUUGACUAUGCAUAGUUUGCUUAUUUAUUUCCAAGAGAUAUCACAUCAGUGGCGGAGCCAGAAAAAAAUGUCAGGGUGGGCCACUAAAAUUAACUAUUGAAAAAUUGUUUAAAGUCUCGCAAAUUAGACUCAUAAUUGAAUUAUUUAAAUUUUUCGGGUGGGCCACUACACCAAUUUGCGGGAAUUUGGAUCAACCGAAACCUAAAACCGACAUAAAAUUGUAUAAAAUCUCGCAAAAUAGACCUAUAAUUGAAUUAUUUAAAUUUUCGGGUGGGCCACUACACCACUUUGCAAGAAUUUGGAUCAACCAAAACAUAAAACCGACACAAAAUUGCAUAAAAUCUCGCAAAAUAGACCUAUAAUCAUUUUUUUUACUUUUUCGGAGUGGGCCCACCCCAGCCCUUGAGCUCCGCCACUGUAUCACAUCAUCAUGAGAUAAAUAAGUACUUCACAACGAAACCUACCUCGUCUCUAUUUGAGAUCCAAUUUAUACUAUUAAAUCCUUCUAAGAUCAACUAUUAGAAACACAUGAUAUCGAGACAACAACAUUUGGAUAGAUUAGAAAAAAUAAUUGCUCGUUUAAAUGACCGCCAUUGAGAUUAUGAAUACACACACUUCAUCUAUUCUUUAUAUGUAUAAUAUAAUUCAUAAAAUCCAUAACAAAUCAAUUAUCUCACACACGAAUUGAGAGACCAUCUUUUAAAAUUCCACUUGUUAUUCAUGAGAUUGCUACCUAAGGCAUAUUCACUAAUUUUAAAUCAUAUAUUAAGCGCUUUACUUUCCGAUCUCUUUGCCUCUUAAACACUUCACUUCCCGAUAAUUAAGUAUAGCUGACUCAACGGUAGUUAACUGUUGUCGAUUUGCUCAACGGUAGUUAACUACCACCAAAGAUAUUUGCGUCAUUUCAAUGUAUGUUUAGGAAACUUUUAAUGUGAGAAAAGCAAUUUUUAAUCAUUUAUUGCAUAUGCGAAACCCGUCCCACACGCUAGCUUAUUUAGUGACAUAAAAUUACAAAUAAAAGAAACACUGGAAAUGUAUAUGCAAUAUUGAUACAUUAAAAGACAAUAGAAACAAUGACUCACACAUUGAAAUAACAUAAAAAAAAAAAAAAAACAUCUUUAAAAAAACAAGAUUUUUUUCUCGAAGGAAUAACAAUAUAAUAAUGAUAUUUGAAUAAUCAUUUGAUGACAAUUUUUUGAACAAUAUUUACUUUUUUUUUAUUAGUCAAAAACAUUAAAAAAACAUAAUAUAAAUAUGAAAAAAGAUUUGUCAUAUUAUUUAAAUAUCACUUAUCUUAAAAAAAACAAAAAAAGAACUUUUUUAACGGGAACUUAUACGAGGGAUAAAAAACAGAAACUUGACAUGAUAUUGUAGAAGGUACAUUGAGUGGUUUGUAAAAAGAGAAUUGCUAGGAGCCAAGCAACAGAGCUACUAAUUUCUACUGAAACAUACUUUCCUUCCGAUUUGUUUUUUGAUGAUAAUAAAUAAAAAGUUAAAAAACAAUAAAAAUAAAAAUUGGAUAGCCGGUAGCCAAACAAGUAGGAAUGACGUGGCUGACUGUAGGAGCGUGUGUUGAUGUGGUGGCGCUUGGGUGUCAUAGUUUUUUUGUGUCAGAGGUAACUUUGUGUCUAUCUCUCUCUUAACAACUCAUUCUCUCUCAUCUAAAUAAUUUAUUUUAAUCAUUCUCUUUCAUCUAAAAUAAACUUAUGUCAUCAAUGACACUAAAAAACUAUGACACCCAAGUAUUUUUCGUGUUGAUAAGCGUCUGUCUAGCAGUUCACUUGUAAAAAUGUUGAUCAUUGAAAAAAAUAAAAAAUAUGUCUAAUCAACGUCUCACCCACUACUCUUUAAUUGCUCUUUAAAAUUAUUGAGAUGAGAUGUCCAAUUAAAACGUGAAAUUAUUUUAACACGUAAAAAUUGCUUCAAUAUUUUUUUUUUUAGAGGAAUUGUAUUAUUUGAACAAUCAUUUUAUAGAUAAUUUUUGAAACAAUCAUAAUUUUAUAAAGGAAAAGAGGUAUUGAUACAAAAACUAAAGAGUACUGAUAUAUGUACAACCAUUUGGUACAACUUUGAUGACAACUUUUAUUUACUCUCUUCUCAUUGAUCCAAAACAAUAGAGAGAAAAGAAGAGAGUGAAUAAGAAUAUAAUGUGAGUUGAGAGAUAAAGUUGUCAAAAAAUUGUAAUAAAGUGGUUGUACAAACAUUAUUUCUCAAAAAUAAAAUAAUAGAGAGAAAAUAAAAACAUAAUAUGAGUAUAAUAGAGAAAGUUGUCAUAAAGUUGUCAAAAAAUAGUUGUAAAAAUAUCUUCUUUUUUUUUGAGAAAUGAUAUUUGAACAUCCAUUUACUGACAACUUUUUCUCUCAUUCUCACGUUAUUUUUUAUUUUAUCUCUCUAUUGCUUUGAUUUUCAUACAAAUACUUACUUUUUCUUUCUUUAUCUCAUAAAUUAUCAACUAAAUGGUUGUUCAAAUAACGGUUAUCAUAUUUUUUACCCAGCCAACAUCCAUAACCGACUGAUAUUAUUAAUAUUUACUAUUAAAAUGCAUGUAACAUAAUCCCCGUGAGCUUAGCUCAGUUAGUAGAGAUAUUGUAUUUUAUAUGCAGGAGCUGGGGUUCGAACCCCAGACAAUCCACUUCUCCACAAAUAAAUUGUGUGAGCUCUAGCCAUUAGACUACUUGAACAAAAAAAAAGAAAUGCAUGUAACAUAGUAACACCCACUUGUUUAGUCCUUUCCCAUCUUCUGUCACUUCUUUCUUUGACUCUUUCUUUAGUUUUCUGACUCUUUUAACAGCUAGCUACAUUAUACAUGUUAUAGCUACUUUCAUUUUCAAUGGCUGAGAUCGACCACUACGUGAAACUACAUGAAACAGUUACAACAGGGGAUUCAGGUCAUUUUUAAGGAUGCAGAUUUUCUGCUGUAACAGCAGGUGUGUAUGACAUGUGAGUCAUCCGAUCAAAUUUCAGUGGCUGAGAUUAAAGUGUGUGAAAACUGACAUAACAAUCUAAACUGUUGGAUCCAUGUUCAUUGGCUGAGAUCGACCACUGCGUGAAGCAGUUACAGCAGGGGAACCAGGUCCUUUUUAAGAUGCAGAUUUCCUGCUGUAACAGCAAGUGUUGUAAGACAUGUGAUCCAUCCGAUCAAAUUUCAAUGGCUGGGAUUAAAGUGUGUGAAAACUGACAGAACAAUCUAAACUGUUGGAUCCAUGUUCAAUGUCUGAGAUCGACCACUGCGUGAAACUGCGUGAAGCAGUUACAGCAAGGGAUCCAGGUCCUUUUAAGGAUGCAGAUUUCCUGCUGUAACAGCAGGUGCUGUAAGACAUGUGAGCCAUCCGACCAAAUUUCAGUGGCUGAGAUUAUAGUGUGUGAAAACUGACUGAACAUUCUAAACUGUUGGAUCCAUGUUCAAUGACUGAGAUCGACCACUGCGUAAAGCAGUUACAGCAGGGGAUCCAGGUCCCUAUUUUUAAUUAUUUCUUUUCUCUCUAGUCUCGUUCUCUCUUCAUAUUCAGAAUUUUUUUUCUGACCCUUUUGUCCAAAAAAAAUUCAGGUCUGACCCCCUUUGAAAAAAAAAUUCCAAAAUGACCCACUUUUGGUUUUUUUUUUUUUUUGUCUUUUUGUGCGUUCCCGCCAUUUGAAACGGCGGGACUGGCCGCCGGUUUGACACGUGUGAAACUGGAUGGUUUAUAUAUCAUUUCGUCGGAUAAUUUAUCGGUGAAAAAUAUAUAUUUCGUCGGACAAUAAUAAAUAUAUAUAUUCGUCGGAGAUCCUAAAUUAUCCAAUAAAAAAAACAAAAAUGAAAAACUGGAUGGUUUGUGGUGUGUGAAACUGGUUUUAAAAAGGAUAUAUAUUAUUAUAAUGUACAAGUUGCCCAAAAAAGCAAAAAACGAAGAAAAAAAAAAACUAAAAGUGGGUCAUUUUGGAAUUUUUUUUUUAAAGGGGUCAGACCUAAAAUUUUUUUGGACAAAAGGGUCAGGAUUUUUUUUUUUCUUCUCAUAUUCACUACAGGAACAAUUUUUUAAAAAGAAAAGUAUAAAAUAGAAACAUGAUCUUGAUGUUCGCAAGUUUGACAAACAUUGACUGGUUGUACAAUUGGUUAAACAAUGUCUCACACACCGCUAGUUACUCCAUCAAUCUCAAAUUAUGUCAUUAUAGUAAAAUUUGUAUGUCUUAAAUUAGAUGUCAUUUUAUAAUAUAAAUGUAUCUUUUUCAAUUCUUUUAAUUUAUAUUUUCCAUAUAAUUAAUAAAAGAUGUUUUAGUAAAAUAACUCAUAAUUACGCUCUUUUAAACAAUAUUAAUUGGGUUUUUUAAUUUAUCUGAGAUUGUUAAAAAGAUAUAUAAUUUGAGACAUUGACAUUUUUUUUUUGUCAAGUAGCCACUAGCUUAGUAGCUAGAGCUCACAUAAUUUAAUCGUGGAGAAGUGGAGUGUCUGGUGUUCGAACUCCGGCUCCUGCAUAUAAAAAACAAUAUUUCUACCAACUGAGCUAAGCUCACGAGGAUAUUUGUUGUUAUUAUUUGAGACAUAGAGUGUCUGGGGUUCGAACCUGUCCGAGGUUCGAACCCCGGCCCUGCAUAUAAAAAGCAAUAUUCCUACCAACUGAGCUAAACUCACGGCGAUAUUUGUUGAUAUUAUUAUAUUAUUAUUAUUAGAUUAUUAGAUGUAUAAUUAGAACGUGUGAAAUUUGUUAAACAUGUAAAAUAUAGCUUCAAUCAUUUUCCAAGUGGUAUGCAUAAUAAACGAGCUAUUUCUUAUGGUUGUUGAGUAUCUAGCUAUAAAUAAGUGAUUAACUACUUAUAGGAUCAUUCAUCCAACACUAAACUCAUAUAGACAUUGAGGAUUUGAUUUGAUUCUUAAGAUGAGAACUGCUCUUGCUUUAUUGCCUCUCAUGCUUUUCUUGGUAAGUUACACUUUUCUUGGUCUUAGUUUUUAUUUUUGGUAGUGGUUUCUUGGUCUUAGUUACUAUCAGCAGUAUAGUACCAUCUUUUAUAAAUAAAUAAAAAAAUACUAGUACCCUCUAACCUCUAAAUAUAUACUCAUAUGUUACUUUUUAAUUGUCACUAUUUGUAGUUUCUUUUUAUUUAUUUAUUUAUUAUUUUUUAAGUUCAAUUAACAAAAAUUAAUGAUUAUUUUAUCAUUAAUACAUUUAAGUAUUUGAUGCAAUUGAAACAGGAGGAAUGAGAAUAAUUAUUUAAUAUAUUAACAAAAAAAAAAAAUUUAAUAAAAGUAACAUAAAAUUUACAUUUCUUCAUAUGUGUAAUAAGUUAAAAAUGACAACUAUAAAGUAACAGAUAUUUGCACAAUUUAUUUAUUAUUUCAUUCAUAUUGUCAGCUUUGCAAAUAAAAUGUGUCGGCAAAACAAAGUCAAUUCUAGUUUUCAAUUUUUUUUUUUUAAGAAACAAAGAUGGUAUAUAUUAACAAAAGGCGGUGAAACCUCCUAAGUACAAGAUGUAUUAAGAAGUCACCCCUCAAAGAGUCAAACAAAUGUAGUAAUUACAAUAAACCGGAUGCGUCGAUACCUAAACAAAGCAUAGGAUCUGACCACCACCUUUGAGAACCGUACACAAAUGUGACUUUACUAGCUUUUAGCCACCAUAAAGAGUGCAAUUUUACUUUAUCUGAUAAGCCUUCAAUGGAUGUUUGGGUAUUAUUAAAAAGUCUGUUGUUGCGUUCAUUCCAAACCAUCUACACACAAAAUAACCAAAUGAGCUGCAUAAAGGAUCUACGCGCCCUAAUUUUCAAAUUUAAUUUUGAUAUUCUAUUUAAUUGUACCAUCUAAUCAAUACUACGUCUAUCACGUACAUGUUACUUAUUUUUCAAUUUUCAUUUUAGAUAAUGAGAAUUAAUCAAUGACUAAUAUGGUUAAUUUGGUAAAAUUGUUACUAAUUUCCUUAAUUUGUAAUAAUUAAUUCUAUCUUUCAAUAUAUGAUUUUUCAUUGCACUUUUGUUUAAAAAUAUCGAAUCAUUGUCUACAAUUUUCUAUACGCACUACUAAAGAAUAGAACUGUUUCAUAUUUUCUUUCUUUACUAUAUAUUAAAAAAAUUGUUUUAAUCUCAUCAUUUGCACGCAUGCCUCAAUGCACUCUUAUCUUUCUUAUAUCCUUGAAUUUAUUUAUUUUUUAAUUUUAAAUAUAUCUAUUUUUUCAAAUAUCUUCUAUAUGUUGUGCACUUAAAACAGUUUUUUUUCCUUGCUAAAUCAUACUUUCAACUUGGUUUUGUCCCUAGAUUUAACUAUUACUUAAAACAAUUAUUCAAAUACUUUUUUUUGAAGGAGUUAUUCAAAUACUAUUAUAAAAAUGACAAAAUAGUAAAUAAAUAGUUUAAAUGAAAAGUAAAAAGGGAAAAAUCCAAUCAAAAUUAAUGAAUCCUCUUUAAUUUUCCAAAUUUAUUAUAUAUUAUAGAAGCAUGGGUUUAAUAGAUCAGAAACUACUAUAUUUUCUAAUCAAAUAUUAUUAUUCAAAUGAUUCAUGUUUCUCAAUUGUCGUAUGAUUUCAUUCAAUAAAAAUUAUAUAUAUAUAUAUAUAUAUAUAUAUAUAUAUAUAUAUAUAUAUAUAUAUAUAUAUAUAUAUAUAUAUAUAUAUAUAUAUAUAUAUAUAUAUAUAUAUAUAUAUAUAUAUAUAUAUAUAUAUAUAUAUGGGAUAGGAUCAAAUGACAUCAAGGUGUCAAAUUAAAUUUGACACCAAAUCCUAACCAUUAAUACAAUUUUCAUCUAACGGUUCCCAUCAAUUCAUUAAGUGCUCACAUGCUUUUAAAUGACAUACUUUUUAAUUUUAGAAAUAAUUUAUUCUUUCUCCUCUUGCUUAAUUACUUGAAGGUGUCUUUUAGCAAGUUAUUCUAUGAGCAUUUGUUAAAAGACAUCAACUAAUUUUUAUGAAGAUGUAUUUUAACAAAGUUAUAACUAAAAAGUAGAAAUCACACCUUGAGGUGUGGGUUGCUAAAAGACACAUUCAUGGAUGCGUUCUAGCAAAACCCCAUAUAUAUGAGAUAAGAUCAAAUGACACUAAGGUGUCAAAUUAAAUGUGACACCAAAUUUUAUCCAUUUAAUUUGUUUAAUCCAAAGGCUUAAAACAAUCACUAGAACAAUUAAAACGAUCAAAUAUUUCUUGAUUUCUCUUGCUAUAUCUUUUCUUUAAUGUUUGAUGUUGCAUUUAUGUAUGAAAUUAAUUUCUCAUAUAUGCCCUUCAUUUCAAUUUUUGAGUAUUUCGCUUUCCUUGAUCACUUCUGUUGCUGCAACACUUAGGGUGUGUUUGUUUCAAGUUAUAAUUGUUGAUUCCCGGGAAUAAAAUGAUAGAAAUGUAUAUGCCUAUGUUUGUUACAAGUUUACUAAAAUUUAUUCCUUGGUAUAAAAUGUUCCUGGGAAUAGAAAAAAUUUCCCAAGGAAAAGGGUGGGAAUAAAGUUCCCAUGGAGAUGGGAAUAAAUUCAUAAAUAGUUUACCUAUUAUAAUCCCUAUUUUUAUGGUUCCUAGGAAUAUUAUAAAGCUAACCAAACAUAUUUUUCCUAAAUUCCUUGGAAUAAAAUUCUCAUCUUUAUAUUCCAAGGAAUGUUAUUCCUAGGAAUAAAUUUGGUAAACUUGAAACAAACACACCCUUAGUUUUUUUAAAUCGAUAUUUUGUAUAAACUUUAUUUGCAACAAUGCUAAUGUUCUUUUUUAAUAACACAAGUUUUUUCCGGUAAAUUGGUUGAAAUUUAUUUAUCACUUAAUUUAAUUUUACCAUCCAUCGAUUUGCAUUCACGGUAAAAAAGUGGAGUGAGAUUCAGACACUUAUAACUAUACAGAAAUUGAGAAAAUUAUGUGAUACAAAAAAAAGCAAGAAAUAAUAUAAGUGAUGAUGGACGCAAGAGAAAAUUUUGAAAUUGAAAUGAAGGGCAUAUGUGAGAAAAUAAAUUCAGACUUUAAUGAAAAUACGCCAUUAAAGGAAAGAUAGAGAAAAACAAAUCAAGAAAUAUUUUAUUACAUUAAUUGUUUUAGUGUUUCUUUUAAGCCUUUGGAUUAAACAAAUGAAAUGGAUGAGAUUUGGUGUCAUAUUUAAUUUGACACCUUGGUGUUAUUUGAUCCUAACCCUACAUAUAUUAUGAGAUGUCCCUACUAACUGAACUAACUUAUAGGGACACUCUCUGACUCACACCUUAUCAAAGGCAUCUACAUUUUAUUCUAGUCCCAACACUUAUCAUAUUCCAUAUUUUUUCCUUGUUCUGUUUUUUUUUUUUUUUUUUUUGUAAAUAAUCUUUUCUUGUUCUAUUGAAUAUAAAUAAAAACAGAGAUAUCAUAAUCUUUUUGGGGGAAUCACUUAACACAACUAUUUUAAAAGAUAUCAACACUAGAUUUACUAAGCAUUUCGACCAUUGUUUUUUCUUUUGGCUUAUUAUUGUUUUAUUGCAAUAAAGUUUGUAGCUAUUGUGGAAUCAAGAAAUGAUCUGCGAGAAUAUUGGAAACUAGUCAUGAAAAACCAAGACAUGCCUGAAGAAAUUCAGGGACUCCUUAAUGCCAACAUUAAAAGUAAUCUCAAUACCCAAGAGAAGGCGUUUAAAGAGGAUCUUGAAUCAAGACCCAAUAUUUCAGCAUACGAAAAUGAUGGCACUAACACCAAAGAAAAUAGUAAAGAUGUUAAAGAUUUUGAACCAAGACCCAACAUUUCAGCUUAUGGAGACAAUGACAUUGAAAAUAAGGAAAAGAAAGGUACCGUUAAAGAUUUUGAGCCACGACCCAACAUUUCAGCAUAUGGAGACAAUGCCAUAGAUGUUAAGGAAAAGAAGAAAGUCGUCAAAGAUUUCGAACCAAGACCUAAUAUUUCAGCUUACGAAGACAAUGUCGUUGAUGUUAAAAAAAAGAAGGGAGUCACUAAAGAUUUUGAACCAAGACCCAAUAUUUCAGCUUACGGAGAAAAUGACAGUGAUGUCAAACAAAAGAAGCAAACCAUUAAUGAUUUCGAACCAAGACCCAACAUUUCAGCUUAUGGAGAAAAUGAUAUCGAUGUUAAUGAAAAGAAGGCAGCCGCUAAGGAUUUUGAACCAAGACCCAAUAUUUCGGCUUAUGGAGACGAUGUCAUAGAUGUUAAGGAAAAGAAGAAAGCCGUCAAAGAUUUCGAACCAAGACCUAGUAUUUCAGCUUGCGGAGACAAUGUCAUUGAUGUUAAGAAAAAGAAGGGAGUCACUGAAGAUUUUGAACCAAGACCCAAUAUUUCAACUUAUGGAGAAAAUGACAUUGAUGUCAAAGAAAAGAAGCAAGCCACUAAUGGUUUCAAACCAAGACCAAACAUUUCAGCUUAUGGAAAGAAUGACAUCGAUGUUCAUGAAAAGAAGGCAGCCGGUAAGGAUUUUGAACCACGACCCAACAUUUCGGCUUAUGGAGACAAUGCCAUUGAUGCUAAGGAAAAGAGGGGAGCCACUAAUGAUUUUGAACCAAGACCAAACAUUUCAGCUUAUGGAGACAAUGACAUUGAUGUUAAUAAAAAGGAGGGAGCCAUCAAAGAUUUCGAACCAAGACCCAACAUUUCAGCUUAUGGAGAAAAUGACA